GUGUAUUUGCUUUCCCCUUAGACAUAUUCAAUUGUGGUUCAGGGUAAAAAAGCUACAGCUUUUCCUGCUAUGUGCAACAAGCUGUCAGAUCAGAGUGAAAUCGAAAACAGGGUUGUGGUUGAUGGCAACCUCAUCACCAGUAGAGGGCCAGGAACUUCUAUGGAGUUUGCACUGGCAAUUGUGGAGAAGUUUUUGGGCCGCAACAAGGCACUUGAGCUUGCAAAGAUAAUGCUUUUCACUCGCGCCUAACGUUUGUAUGGGGACCUGUCUACUAUUAAACUAGUGUGUUUAUUUCUGUAUUGCUACUGCUUGUAGAGAGGGGAAAUGGAAACUUGAAUUCAUGUUUGAAUAUGGAUUCACUGUGUGGGUUUGUACAGCAGUUUGGUUUAUAAAUAAAUGAGUUCAUGGAGUCACUUCAAAUAUUCGGAAUAAACCUGAGUUUAGAUCUGUUAUCAAUGGUCGGAGUCCAAUUGCGAUCGACUCACUGGGAAUUUUAAUUAUGAAUCAUGUUAUAUUCCACCUUUCUCAUAAAAUGUUAACUCGAUUUACAGGAUAAGAAGGAAAAGAAAGACGCUAAGAGAGGAGCAGACACCCAAAAAGAGUUGACCACUUUGUUGGAACAUAAAUCUCUAGAAUAUUGAAAUAAAACACAUACCAUAUCUAGUAUCAAGUAUGUAUGUGCAAGAAGAUACAAAUUUGAAGAUCAGAUUUCUCAUUUCAAUUUAUGUUCUGCUUAGAGCAAUGGCUCUUAUUCCACAAGCACAAGCAGGAAAGAGUACGCACGAAGUUAAGAAACACACAUUGCAAAAGUUGCAUUAACUACUUGCGGCAACAUCAUCCAAGAACUUGACUUUAAUCUUCUUGAGCUUCGCUGCAGCAUCUGUCAUAUGCAUUCUCUUGUCAGGUGACUCCAUACAACAAUCCAAUGCCAAAUCCAUGAUGCUUAAUAAACAAUCCAUUUUGGCAGAAAAAGCUUGCUCUUCUCGCACCAAAUUUGCGUCAACAACUUCACUCAAUCUGUGAGGUAAUGACUCCUUCACCCAUCUCCUUAAACUCAUUUCUUCUGUGAACAUUUGAUCGGUGGGCCUCUUUCUCGUGAAAGUUUCCAUCAAUAACACACCAUAGCUGUAGACAUCACAUUUGGCUGAAACAAUUCCUUCUAAUCCAUACUCUGCAUUUUUUAAUUUUAAUUAUGAAACAAAUGAUAAAACAAAUAAUUUUUUUGAUAAUUAAGGUAACCCAAACUUUGCUCGUGCUUGAAAAAAGAGCAAAAAUUUUAAUUACAAUUGAAACUUUACCUGGUGCCAUAUAACCAAUUGUAGCCAUUGUCAUGGUUUGUGUCACACAAUCUUCUCCUUCACCUAAGAGUUUGGAAAUGCCGAAGUCGCACACAUGUGCCAUCAUAUUUUCAUCCAAGAGAAUGUUGGUGGGCUUCAAAUCACAAUGAAUUAUAGGUGCCGACGAAUGACCAUGAUGGAGAUAUUCAAGAGCCGACCCCACAUCUAUCAUUAUAUUCAACCUCUCUAGAAUGUCUAAGAAAUAAUUGUAAGAAUACAACCACUUCUCGAGACUACCAUUUGGCAUGAACUCAAGUACCAAUGCUUUGAAAUCUGGAUUAGAACAACUGCUAAGGAUCUUUAUGAGAUUUCGAUGACGAACAUUCCGUAAAACUUCACAUUCAGAAUCAAAACUCCUAAAUGCUCUCUCUAGUUGCAGAUUGAAAAUCUUUAUUGCAACAUUAGUCCCGUCGGAAAUGGUUCCUUUAUAAACUGAUCCAAAACUACCUGUACCCAGCAAGUUACAUUCAUUAAAUUCAUCAGUUGCUCGUUGAAUGUCAAGGUAGGAUGUUCUUCUCCAUGUUGCAAGAGGUAGGAAAUCUUCGUGAUCUGAUUUUUUUGUACUCCUCUUUCGGCAUCUUAUGUACAUAAUGAUGAUAAUCACUAUAAGUACAGAGGAUACUAUCGGAGGCAAAAUAUAUUUAAGGACAAUUAGAGCAACGUUCUUGGUGCUUUUGCUGUCACCUUGUUUGCAAGGUGGGACUCGGAGUUUAGGUGGACCACAGAGUGCAUAAUUUCCGAAAAAUGAUUCAGUUGACAAGUUUUUAAAAGACCCCUUAACAGGAAUUUCCCCUUCUAGCCUAUUAUGAGACACAUUAAAUUGUUUGAGAUGUGACAAUAUCUCCAAUGACUUAGGAAUUUUUCCAGAGAGAUUGUUGCCGGAGAGAUCUAAGGAUUCUAAGCUUAUCAAACUGCCAACUGAUUCAGGAAUAGGUCCCUGAAAUUGAUUACGAGCCAAGGAUAGAGUUUCUAGAUCUAUGAGGGCACCAAUGGUUGAUGGAAUAUCACCUAAUAAUUGAUUCCUUGAUAAAUCUAAAACUGUCAAGACCUUUAACUUUUGUACAUUGGAAGGGAGAGGACCAUUUAAUGAAUUAGACGACAAGUUUAUCUCUAAGAUGUACUCAAGGCUCCACAAGGAUGACGGUAUACUAGAAGUGAGCUUGUUGGAGCCUAAGCGGAGUUCUCUUAGAGAUGUCAAACUCGCCAAGCAUGGCGGUAUAUGUCCAGAGAGCUUAUUUCCAUUUAACCUUAUUCCGUAUAUCAACUCCAAGUGGCAAAGAUCAUAGGGAAUGGAUCCUUCCAAAUUAUUUUCUUCAAGAGAUAAACCUUGUAGCCGCUUAAGUCUUCCCAUCGUUGGUGAAAUAGUUCCAUUCAAGUCAUUGAAGCCGAGGCUUAAGAGGAUCAGGCCACGCAACUUACCAAUUUCUUUAGGAAUGCUGCCCCCGAGUUUGCAGUUGGAUGCAUAAAAUUGUCGAAGAGAAGCAGAGAAAUUUCCAAUCACUGGUGGAAGGAUGCCACCCAAUGGAUUAUAAGCUAAGGCUAAAAAUGUUAAAUUUCUGCAAUUAGUCAGAGAAGAGAGAAAACUCCACUGAUCUGCUGAAGAUGAUUCUGUCGUCAAGUUAUUAAAUGCUAAGCUGAGCACGUCGAGGUGUCUCAAGUUGCCAAAUGUAUUUGGAAUAUGGCCCGAGAAUGAGUUGAAGCCCAAGUCUAGGGCAACGAGUUUAGUAGCAUUGGUGAUAGAGUGGGGAAUUAUCCCUAUAAGAUUAUUGGCCGACAAGGCUAAAUACUCUAUGUUCGGAAGCGAGUGGCCAAUCGUUGACGGUAAGCGGCCUGAGAGUUGAUUGCCCCCCAGAGUAAGGAUUCUCAUGGUUGAAAUGUUGAAGAUCGUGGGUGGAAUGAGGCCACUUAAAUUGUUGUCAGCAAAAACAAGAACCUCCAAAUUUUCCAGAUUGCCAAUCUCGGUUGGAAUUUGACCUGCCAUCAGGCCAACAUUGAGGAGUCAUUGAGCUUUUAGCUUAAGGUAAAUUGAGUUUGACAAUGUUACCCUUGAAAAUGUAAAAGGAUCAAAUUAAUUUUAUUACACAAUAAUUUCAGCCAAUAAUGUUCUUUACACAAUAAUUCUGCAAAAUAUGCAUGCAAAUGGAAAAAUAUGCUUCAAUUACAAGAGGUGGUGGAGCGUACCUCGAAGAUUGCUGAAGCUAAGAUCCAGAUACACGAGUUUACUCAAAUUUCCAAUCCUUGAAGGAAUAUUUCCACCAAUAGUAUUGAACUCUGCACGCAGCGUCUCUAGCCUUGAUAAGUUGAAGAGAGAAUUAGGGAUGGGACCUGUGAAACUGUUAUUAUAAAGUCUCAAUAUUCGGAGUUUAGAUAAGACACCAAUCCAUGAUGGAAAGCUUCCGCUCAAUUUAUUGUAAGCGAAACUCACGACUCUGAGUCGACGUAAUUGCCCCAAUUCUUUCGGCAGAUGGCCAUGAAAAUUGUUCUCACUAAUGUCAAGAGACACUAGAAAUGAGAGAUUUCCCAAGUGUAGUGGAAUGGUGCCUCCGAGACCCAUAUCUGAAAGAUUCAAGGCAGUGACUCGUUGAUGGCGUGAACCACAAGAGAUACCAACCCAGCUACAUAUUGGAUAAGAUAUAGACCAAUUAUUUGCCAGGGCACUCCGAUAAUCAAGAAUGUGGGCUUUGAAUGCCAGAAGAGCUGAUUGAUCUGUUGUUAAAUCGUUUAAAGUCGUCACAGCUAAGCUAGCAAUGAGAUACUGUAACACUAACACCGACAUAGGAACAAAGAAGAAUGAUAAGCGCAUAUUGGUCGUUUUUAGUAGUAGUUGCAAGGCGAGAUUGAUACAAGUUUUAAGUAAAGGAAAUUAGCAUAUACUUAUAAUGAGACAUAUGAAUUUGAAAAUAAGAGCAGAAAAAAUAUACAGGAGACUUGCAAAUUGUUAUAUUCUGUCAUUGAGCGAGCCGUCCAAGUAAACGCAUUUACACUUGAACCCUAAAUAAAGGCCUUAUGGCACUUUAAUUGCCAUAAGGAAGAAGAUGCUCAACAUUGCCAAAAGUGUUUUUCUUGAAGUCUCGUCUUCCGUAAUGUUUGUAAAAUCGAGGUUUUACCAUCUCUAAUUAAAUAUUUACUCUUGAUUUAGACCACGUAAUCUAAACUUGACGAAAAAUUAUGAUCUUAUGUGAUUUUAUGAAUGUGGUCUUAUCUCUUAUAAGUCGGCAAUGAAUUAAUUAAAGCUUGCUGACAAAUUACAAGCUCAAAAAUAUCUUUUACUUAUUCACAAUCUUAUUUCAUUUUUUUAUAACAUAAUAUUAAAAAUUUGUCUAUUAAAUUAAUUUAAUAAUUUUUUUAAUAAAAAAUCUCAUUGACGACCAAACAACUAAUUUUUUUUUUAUAAAAGCUUUGCUUGUUAAAAUUAUGCUGAAAAAAACUCUACUUAAGUAAGUUCUAUUUUUUUUAUAAAAGCCAUUUUAUUUCUUUAUCUUUUUUAAUUAUUAUUGGAAAAGUAGCGCAGCUUAUCAAAAAAGGAAAGAAAAAAAAAAGUCAAAGUGACGAGUGGCUUGUUUUUUAAUUUCAAAGUCAAUGCAAAGUAAAAGUACCGAAAUAAUCAGUUUUUAAAUCCAAAUAAGUGGCAAUAAAGGGAGGUCUUGUUAGGGGUGUUCGCGGAUCGAAUUUUAUGGAUUGGACAUCAAUCCAUAUUCGAUCCACGAUUUUACGGAUUAUAAAAUUUCAAUCCAAUUCAAUCCACGGAUUUGUAAAAUUCAAUCCAAAUCCAAUCCAUAAAUCUGCGGAUCAGAUGCAAAUUUGACCUAAUCCAUAUCCAAUCUACAAUUUUGCGGAUUGGUUUGUGGACUGAAAAUUUUUAAUUCUGUCAAAUCCACGAACUAACUAAAUAAAAAAAUUUAAUAUAAAAAUAAUUUUACUACGGAUCAAAUUUAAAAUUAAAUAAGAUUUAAAUAAAUAAAUUGCUUAAAUAAAGCUAGCAAAUACAUUUAAAGUUUCAAAAUAUAACACACCAAAAUGAAAAAAAUAUCAUUCGUUUUAGAUCAAGGAAAUUAACUAUUUAGUAAACUAUAUUUGUUUAUUUAAUUAUUUUUUAUUUUUUAUUAUUAUCGGAUAUGAUAUAAUAUAAUGUUAAUGUAACUAUAUUUUAACUUAUUUAUUUACUAGUAAGUACUAAUAACAUAUUUACAAGUUUUAUUUUUAAUUAAAUAAAUACUUUUUAUUUUUUUGCGGAUUCGCGGAUUUUUACCGAUUUACAGAAGUAGAUCCAUAUCCAAUCCACUGAUUGCGGAUUAUCAAAUUUUCAAUUCAAUCCAAUCCACCAAUCCACGGAUCAGACGGAUUGAGCAGAUCGAAUUAGAUUAUGAACACCCUUAGGUUUUGGUGUGCAUUGUUGAAAACUUGGAAGUCUAUAUGACCAUUUAACCAAACUAUAGGGGUAUAACUGUCACAAAUUUUUAAAAAUAAAUUUUACCAAACAUUUAAAUGAUUUUUUUUUCACAAUUGAUUAUUAAAUUCUAAGUGUUAGACUAUUGUAAGAAUACAAAUAAUUGACAUGGACAUAAUAUUAAAUAAAAUUUACUUAUAUAUAUAUAUAUAUAUAUAUAUAUAUAUAUAUAUAUAUAUUAUUGUUUGUAUAUAAAAAUUGCUAACUAAAAAAUAUUUAUAUUUUAUCAAUUUUAUUUCUUUUAUUUUUUUAUCUCAAGAUAAAUAUAAUAAUAACAAUCUCUCUAAAUUUAAUUAUUUUUGCUCUUUAUUGAAUAAGGAUAAUUUUGAGUUUCUGUAAUAUAUGUGAGGAUAUAUAUAAAAUUGUAUUAAAUAUAUAACUAUUCUCAAAAUUAAAUUUUAAAAAACUAGUUCAUUCUCACUUUUCAUUUAAUUAGGCAAAUGGCCACAGAAAUUGUUCUCCCUCAUAUCCAAAUAAACUGAAAACGAGAGAUUUCGUAAGUGUGGAGGGAUGAUGCCUUCGAAACCCAUCACUGAAAGAUUCAAGUUUGUGACUCUAUGGUAUGAGCACCACAACAUAUGCCAAUUCGACUGCAUAUUGAGUAAGACAUGGACCAAUUAUUCAAGAGAUUCAUGAGCCUUCGAAGUGAGAAAUAAAGCAAAUUAUGUGGUGGUCGUGGGUCAAUUGACUACGUUUCGUGAUCUACGUGCGAUUGCAACAGUCGGUUCAUUAAGUGAAAUUAAUGACUCGUCCACUAUAGUAAGAUACUGUCCUCAUUAGGUUGGUGCUGGGUCAAUUUUAUCCAUGAGUCAACUUACAUUAAUUUGAAUUAAUUUAUAAGAGUAUCUCAUUUUCGUUGAUUACGAGUUGUGAUCGAUGACAUGCACGAAAGCAGUCAAUUUACAGGUCAUUCACUAUAUAUAUGGGGUCUAUGGGUGGAUGGAUCUAACGUAAAUUAAGGGUUGAUGAUGACCCUCGACUUCUAACGACGACCAUCGAAGACGACCUUGACUUUACAUGCAAACACACAAUUCGCUCUCAUACAUUAUGUUUUAAAAUUUCUCCAUUUUCCGGGGCCCCGCUGUCGACCGUACACAGUUUAAUUUGUAUAUACAAGACCUCAUUGUUUCUAGCAAGCAUAGAGCCAUAGACCAUAUUAAUUCCAAUUACAUAAAUCUUCAUUUUUAUCAUGAUUUUGGAUCUCGAGCAGUGUGGAUAUAUCCAACCAGAUCCGCCUCACUGGCAUCCCAAUAUAUUUUAGAAUUGAGUAAUGAGUAUCAAUAAAUGUGUAAUUGUAAAUCUACAACGUUUAAUUUUAAUUUGAGGACUCAAAUGAAUUUAUCCAACAAUACCUCGUUAAAUUAAUAUUCCAUAAAUUUUUAACUUUAAUUAAAUAACAAAUUUUGUCCGUCCCAACUUAGGAUUAACGUGGUAAUUAAUAAUUUGAUAAAUUGUUAGAUAAUAAUUUUUUAAAAAAAUCUUAUUUUUUUAUUGGAUCAAACUGAUAUAUAAAUGAAUAAUUAAUUAAUUUUAAAACUAAAUUCAUGUUAUGUCAAUCAAAUGUUAUUGCAAAGAAGACUAGCAGCGACGCUUUGAAAGGUACACCAAAGCCUUUUGCACCUUCUCCUCCGUGACCACCAAUAGAUACUUCCACCAUUUCAACGUCAUGACAUGAUGUAAGUUUCUUUUGUAGAAUUUGCGAAUUGGUAAUCUUUUACACGCGUAUAUUUAUAUCAUUGUAUAGUUAUAGAUUCAAUUACUUUUAUGAUGCAUUUAUUAAUUUGGAAUUGAAGUAGACAAGAAUGGGCUGUAAUGUGAAUGGAGAAUCGAAAUUAGAAUAAGUUAUUUACUUGAACUGUAGAAAUCGAAAUGAGUUGGAUUGUCAUUAAUGUGUUUACUUUGUCUUGGAAUCAGAAUUGAAAUAAGUUAGUUUAUAACAAAUUACUAAAAACUACUUAAUGAACUAUUGUUAUAAUUAUUAUUUUGUAUUUUAAUUAUUAUGAUUAUUUAUUAAAAAUUAUUAUUGUUAUUAUUACUUAUUGUUAAUAGUAUAUUAAUAUAUUAAUAAAUUAUAAUAAUAUAUUAAAUAACUAUAAUAUAUUAAAAAAUAUACUUGUAUUUACAAGAAAUGACUGAUAAAAUUUCUAAAAUCGUCUUCCUCCCUAAAACUCUUAAUGCCACAGCCCUAAAAAUUAAAAAGAUUUGGGAAUUAUAUGUCUUUUUUAAAAUAUUAAAGGGUGUUUAUUUCCUUAAACGGUGGGGACUAAAAGUCCUAUUCCCAAACGAGUAGUGUGCCGGCGUUGGAGGCUAGAAAGACAAUUUGUUACAUUGCUUCAGAAGUGCUUAAUGGAAAUUUUGGUGAGGCAUCACAUAAUUUAAAGGAUCAGGCUACGGUGCAACUGUGGUACCGUACUACAGUUGCAUCCAGCCGUUUUAAUUCACUUAUAUUGGUGAGGUUCACUGGCAUCCAACGGCUGAAUGCAACUAUGGCACGGUACCACAGUUGCACCACAAGUUUCCCCUAAUUUAAAUUACUGGAAUUUGCAUCAAUGGUUUUUAUUGGUUUAUUUACUCGUCAACAAAUUACUGUAACUGCAGAAAACAGUGUAACACAUUGUAUAAUACGUUAAUACGUUAUAUUGGUCAGUGCUCCUACCAAGGAAAUCUUUUUAAGUUUUGUUAGCAGAAUAUUCUUGUAAGGGUGGAGGCAUAAGAGAUUAAUAAUUUAAUAUCUCUUGUUCAUUAGAAGAUUUUUUUUUUUUGGGAAAAAAAAAGAAGAAGAUGGUUUGUUUAAUGUUGAUAAAUUUUGAAGUACAAUUUUAUAGAUGUCGAAUGUGGGCAAAAAGUAAAGAAGCUCAAACACUUUUCUACAUCUAAACUAAUCAUUAGGAUUUAUAUUAACUAAUAAACCCUAAUAAUACGAGCGUUCAUAAAAACUUCAUAUGAACAUUGAACCAGCAUGGCAUCAUAUUGUAAUAAGUUGUACAGCUGUCAAUCUCUUAUUAGUCAGAUAUAUUCUGAGUUAGUUACAUGAAUGUAGUAUAAAUAUCAUACUCUGUACACAUUCUUAGUUAGUUACUUCAGUAGAAUUUUCUCUCCUCUACUCAAUUUUUAAGUUAUCUUUUAUAUUGGGGGCAAAUGAUAUUUUAUUAACGAAAUGAUUUUGCCCUCUUAAUAAGCUCUCAUUUCUCCGCUUUGAUCAACACAGCCUUCUUUUAUUACAUCAAAAUUCUUCCUCUUUCCAUCAAAAUUUCAUGGAUCUGCCCUUACGUAAAAUCAUAUGAGAGUAUAUAAUAAAAUUAAUUAGGUAUGUUUGGAACAUUUUUGGUAUCCUUAAGCUGAUUUUAUUUUUAUUUUUUUAUAGUAUAUAUUGUCAAAAGUAAAUGCUAUAAACACUUUCGGAAAAAAAGAUGAAGAGCACCUUUGGAGUAAUUUUUUCUAUAGGAACUAACAAAACAACUAAAUGAUGUAUGUAUCUCUAAGAUUUAUUAUUAUUAAUUUUUUUUUCUGUAGUUGACAAAGCAUCAUGAUUGUGUUGGAUGAUAAGAUUAAAGGUGGGAAUGGUCCGAAUGGACCAAUUUUUUAGGAUAAAAAAAAAAAUGAUUCAAUCCUGGGCAUGUUUGGCUAUCGAAACUAGUUGAUUAGUCUAAAGUUUAAUUCAAAAGUAAUGGGACUAUUAAUCCUUAGGAAAAUUAUCAUUUGUAUACUCUAUAGAUGCUCUGUUAUAUAAAAAAUUACAACACUUUGAGAGUGUAUCAAUCGUCCACCCUAAGUUGACAAAAUAUAUCUGCCGUCCAUCAAACCGUUACUUGCUGUUUAAAUAGGAUAGCGCCAGAGGGGUAAUUUGGUCUUUUCAUAUGAUACAAGUGAUAAUUCAAGGGUAUACAAGUGAUAAUAAAAGAAUUUAAAGGUAUACAAGUGAUACUUUUCAAGGGUAAAAUCAUCAAUUCGCUAUAAUUCCGUUAACUUUCAAACGACAGCUAACGGUUUAGUGGUCGGCAGAUAACUUUUUUCAAUUUAGGGUGGACGAUUGAUACACCCUCAAAGUGUUAUAGUAUUUUUUAUAAUAGAACAUCUAUAGGGUAUACGAAUGAUAAUAUCCCUAAUCAAUCCUUAAUUCAACUUAGGUUUAAGUAGUAUAUAAAAAAUCUUCUUUAUCACUCUUUUCAUUUUUAUUUAGAUUAAAAUUCAUAUAAAUAAAUAUAAAGAAUUAAUUUCAUAAUUUAUUUAAACUAAAAUUUUAUAUUAUAUUAAAUAUCCAAAUUUUAAUUCAAUAAUUUAUUUAUAUUAGAAUUUUAUGCAAUAUUAAAUCCCAAAACUUUAUUUAAUAAUUUAUUUACAAAAAUAUUAAUAUCAAAUUCAACAAUUAGUAAUAUAAUUUAAAAUAAUUACACUAUUUUAAUAGUUAUUUAGCUAUAUUAAAUUAAAUUUAACAUAUCCUUGUCCGAUACUAUACUAAACAAACGAUAGUACCUUAUAUAGUAUAGUCAAUCUAUUAUAAUAUAAUUCAAUCUAAUCGAACGUGCCAAAUCAGUACAUUUUAAAAAAUAAUUUUAUAACAGCUUUAAAAAAGCAUUUUUUAAGUUACUUUUACAAAAUGUGCUUUCUCCGAAAGCACUCGUGAAAUGCAAAUUCUCACAAAACACGUGGUGUGUUCAAUUGGGCCUCCGCCCAUUAAAACUACAACCAUGAAAGCAAGCAAUGUUCAUUGGGCUUUAUUCUCUCGAGAAAACUUAUACACGUAGCCCACCACCGGCGCCCUAAUUUGUCUCCACCUCUCUAAAUAGAGUUGGACUAUUGGCACCUUUCCAAAAUUCUUCUGAAAUUCCUUUUUCAAUAAUAUUAAGUUUAAUGCUAAAAAUAUCCUUAUUUCCAAAUAAAUACAUUUAAUUUGUGAAUAUUUUAAUUUUCUAUUAUUUUCUCGCUCCUCACAAACAAAUUUUUAUGGGCGAUAAACUUCUUGAUAAAAAUCAAUUAAUUAAAUAAAAUAUCUAUAAGAUUAUAAUGUAAAAAAUUUUAUUAUGAGUCUUAAAAAAAGACAGAUAAAUUUAUCAGAAUGUGUUUUGUUUAUUAUCAAUAGAUUAUUUUAGUAAUUAAAGAAAAAUUUAUAGAGAAUUUGAGAAAAAAAAUUACGUGUGAGUUUGAUAGCAAAGAAAAUAUAAGAGUUUUUUUUUAAGAGAGAAAAUACAAAAGUUUGAAGUGAGAUAAAAUAGAUAUAAGAUAUAUUAGAGUAUUUAUCCUUAAAUUUAAUUGUAACAAAAGAGAGGUUUUAAAAAGAUUUUGGAGGAGUGUCUCCAACUCCUCUAAAUAUUAUUGAUUGAUGCAUAUGUUUCACAGCAUAGAGUGGCUUACAUUGGAGCUUUUCUAAAAAAAUGAAAAUUUCAUUUAAUUAUUUAUUAUUCACGGAUAAGAAAUUAACUUCUUCUUUUUUCUAACGCCACAGUCUGGUGAGCUUGCCUAGUGUGUUUUAGUUGGAUAAAAAUUUUAGCAAAUGCUUCUUGGCAAGGAAGCUUAAAUAGUUUAACCUGAAUUUAACCUCGAAUGAACCCAAAUUAUUAAACCGAACCAAUCCGAAUUGUGAAUCUGAAUUUCAGUUCGAUUCAGUUUGGUUCAGGUUCGUAUUUUCAACUCGAACAAGUUUAAUGCUCCAAUUCGAUCAGGUUGUAACCUAAACCGAAACUCGAAAACCCGAACUGAAACUCAAUUUGGCCACCCCUAAUGAGAACUGAGAAGUACCUGGAUCGUAAAAGAAAGGUUUUGAUGAUAAUUUUGGCUAAAAAUCUGUUUCUUAACUUCUAUUUUUAUUUUUUUAUGCUGUAUUUUAGUUGCUGAAUAGGUUAUAUAUAGAAGUUCAGUUAAUUUUGUUUUGGAUGAAAAAUCAAUGAGUACUUCUGUGAUUAAUAAGUGAAAUUUUGUUUGCAUCAUAUAGUCAGCUAUAAUGCAUUGGAUGGCUUUGACUCAGCAUGGAAGAAAUGCUCUCCGGCAGAUUACUAAAGAGAGCUCUGAUCGCGUGUUGCAUCACCCAUUGCUAUUUUCUUGUCAAGGAGUCAGAUACAGACGAUUGGAAGUGAUUCUAACAACAAUGAGUAAAUUGAUCUUUUGUUUUCCCUUUUCACCAGUUUGGAUCUCUUGACUAAUCAGCCUGUUUGAGUUUUAACUUGUGUAUUAAUGAUUGGUUUUAUAUGUUCAGAAAGUUGACAAGCUUGGUAAAGCCGGUGAAACUGUGAAGGUUGCUCCGGGGUAUUUCCGGAACCACUUGAUGCCCAAAUUGCUUGUUGUUCCAAAUAUCGAGAAGUUGGCUCAUCUCAUUAGAGAGCAGCGCAGGUAUUUGUUUUUCAUGAUUCUUCUCGGUUGAACUUUUUUUGUUUGGGUUGAGAAUGGUUAAUUCUAGUGAUACAGAAAUUUGCUCAUUUUCUUUAGAUACUUUGUUUAGCCAGUUUGUCAAUUAAUUUGACUCAUGGCUUCAAAUUAUUGCUAAAUUCUCAGUUUGGAAAUAUUUGUGAUUUUUGAAGGGGCAUUACAAGUUAUUAAAGUUUGUUGUGCCUGUGACUUAUUUUCAUCAGAUUUGCCAGCCUGAGGAAGAGGAAGAGGAAGAGGAAGAGGAAGAGGUUAGAGUUAUCCGGAAGUCUGAGGACAAUAUGAGUAGAGAAUUUGAGAAGGCAGCUAGGCGCCUAGAGAAUGCUCGACUGGUUUGUGGCCUAUCUUUUAAUUUCUUCAGAUUCGGGACAAAUUGUCUUGGAGUGAACUGAUGUGUUGCCUUUUCCUUUUUUUUUAGCUUGAAUGAUCUAUUUGCUACAGUUAGGAGUGAACGUCGUAAUGAAUUUUAAAUUAUACUGUUUGUUUCGAUUUACUUUUCUAUCUUAGCUCCAUCAAGUGAUUAGUGGAAUGCUGGUCCUGUGAGUAUAAAAUGAAACUCCUUAAGUUAAAUUCCUUAGGCUGUGUUUAUUUUCUGUAGUGGGAGCGAGGAGUGUAAAUUCUUUUCAUUUCAGUAUUUAUUUCAACAAAUUGGCUCCGGAUUGAGAAUCCCACUCAGUAGACCCCACCCAUUUUUGGAGUGAGAUUCCCAUGGGGAGAGGUGGGAGUGAGAUUCCCACUCCCACCUCUCCCUUUUUUUACAUUUUUUUUAAUUUAAUUUAAUUUAACUUAAUUUAAUAUUUAAUAAAAUAAAAUAAAUAAUAUCAUAUUUAUUUGAAUAAUAUUAUUAUAUUUAUUUUAAAAAUAAUAAUACUAUAUUUAUUUAAUAUUAAUAAUUAAUAAUAAUAAAUAGUUUAUUCUAAGAAAAUAUUAAUUUUGUCCUAAAUAAUAUUAUAUUAUUAUUUUAUAUAAUAAUAAAUUUAAUAUAAUUAUAUUAAAUAAAAUAAAAUAAUGUUUCAUUUUAUAUUUACCCUUCUUUUUUACCCUCUUUUUAUUAAAUUUACUAUAAUUAUAUUUAAUAAAUAUUUAAAUAAUAUUAUAUUUAUUUAAAUAAUAUUAAUAUAUUUAACUAAAUAAUAAUUUGGUUUGAUUCUAAGUCUAAAUUACUUAAAAAUAAUAUUAUUAUAUUAAUACAGAAUUAAUAAUAUUACUUUUAUACCAUCUUUAUUUGAAAAUAUAUUAUUAUUAUUAUUAUAUUUAUUUAAAAAUAUUAGUAUUAUAUUUAUUUAAUAUUAAUAAUUAAUACUAAUAAAUAGUUUAUUCUAAGAAAAUAUUAAUUUCAUACUAUGUUAAUAGUAAAAUAUUUCAUUUAUAUUGCCCUUAUCAAUAAUUUUUAAUUUAUAUAAUUAAAAUUAAAAUUAAUAAAAAAAUGUGAUGUUCAUAAUUAAGAAUAUUAAUAAUUAUUAUAAAUUUACAAAUAUAAAUGUUUAUUCAUUAAAUAUAUUUUUUAUUAACUUUGUAAUUAAAAACUAUAAUUCUUUAAAUAAGGAUAAAAUUGUAAUUUGAAACUAUUUACUCCCAAUCCGAGACAAACUAAACACAUAAAUUGAAUUCUGAUCUCCAUUCCAUGCUUUCAUUUUAGUGUAAGUAAACAACAUACUCCCACUCCCAAUCCUAAGAUUCCCACUCCAAUUCAAAAAGUAAACGCUACCUAAAUACAAGUAAUCUUGCUUUCAGAUAUGAAUUAUCUGAUGGAUGUUGUAUUUUCAAGGUAUUGAGGAGAUUCCCCAAUAUUGAAAAAUUGCGUUCCCGUGCAUCAAAAGAUGAUCCCAUAGAAUUGCGUUCACCUGUGACAAAAGAGGAGCUUGUAGUUGAGGUAUGGAUUUUUAUAUUUCUUGGUUGUUUUUAUACUUGUUUCUCAUCAUAAUAGCAAAAGCAGUUUGUUCUGAGUGAUCUGUGUGGUCUCCUAUCAAUGACUGCCGUUUCUAUCAUUUAGUACUAUUGACUAUGUGUGUAUAAAUAUUUUGUUUUUACCAUGUAAUUUCAUAUUCGAUGCAUUUCUAAUACAUUGCAUAGCGUCCAUGAAUGGGAAUGAUAAAAUAAAUUUCAAGCGUGUUUCAAUAGAUGAAAAAACUUGGAACGAUUUAGAAGGAUUUGCUGAUUAAAUAAUUUUCCAAUUUGUUUGCUUGGAGGAAUUGAAUAGUUAACUGAUUAAAGGAUUUCAAGGUGGUUCGGUCCCGCUGGGCAUUGUCAAUAUCAACGGUCAUUAAUUCCUAUUAUCUGAAAUUGAAUUUCCAGUGUGGCAUGGUAACUUUCUGCUAGGGUGUGAUUGUAUAGUAGCCAAUUGUGAGCAACAGAUCCGCAUAGUAAUAUAGAUUGAAAUUUUGCAUCUUAAUCCAUGAAGAUAUAGAUUUUGGCAAUAUUAUACAAGCACUGGGGAUUACCUUAAAUAUUCUGGACUUGUCAUUGAUAGAGUUUCUUUUACCUAGUUAUUGAUAUUUCUUUCAAUUUUCUAUUUUACUCAUACAAUUUAUACAAUUUUAGGUGGCAAGACAACUUUCGUUUUCUAUUGAGCCUGAAAACCUGCAUCUACCAUCACCUCUAUCUGCUUUUCGAGAAUAUGAGGUUCCUAUGCGCUUACCCAAAGCCAUCCCCCUACCGGAAGGAAAGGUCCAAUGGAUUCUCAAUGUUAAAGUCCGCGGCAAAUAAAUAUUUUUUAGUUAAUUUUUUAAUCAAUAAAAAAAGGUAAUUAAAAAUGUAAUUAAUAAAUUACUUAUUAGCAAAUUAAAAAACAAAUAUUAGCAUAAAAUAAUUGAUAUUUCAUUCUCUUACAACAAUCUUACCAAUUAUUAUUUAUAAAUUAAUUAAUGCAAGUUAAUUUAAAGUAAUGUUUAAUAUUCUUGUAACAACCUUACUAAUAAUUUUUUGAUAAAAAAAUUAAUUUAUUAAAUUAAUCCUAGAAGUAAAAUAAUAAUAAUUAAUUUGUAUUUUAUUUUUAAGAUUAAUUUGAUAAAUUUAAUUUUUUUUAACUAAUAUCUCCAAGAAUAUAGUUGUAACGAUAUUAUUACAAAAGGAAAAAAAAUAUAAGAUUAUAAUAUAUUUACCAGUAAGAAUAAUUUAAAAUAUUUUUUAAGAUAUAAAAAUUAAACGGACACUUAAUUAAAAAAAAAAAAAAAAAACUAAAUAAGUAGUUAGCUUUUAACAUUUCAACCUAGUGGUCAUACAAUCAUGGUGCGGCCCGGGAUGGCUGGCCCAGCCCAUCAUGUAAAAAUCCAUGUCACCCUCAUUCUUAAGCUGCUACUCUGCCACUUGCCACGGAGCUCCCCACAUCAUACCGUACCGAUGCCUCUAGAAAGCUAACUUUAAAAAAAUGGUAUUAAUAAGCGUACGCCACGUCACUCCUCACUCUCUUCUUCGUCACUUUCCUCUCACUCAACAUUUUCUCCCCAAACAAAUUCCUUCUUUGAAAAAUCGCAUUUUCUCCUUCACAGCAACCGCUACAAUGUCUUCAACUUCCAAGAAGGUAAUUUUUUUAAAUUUUAUUUUUUGUUUAGUUUCUUUCUGUUGCCUUUUUGUUUCGUUUUUUGAAUUUUCUGUGUCGUUUUUUUUUUCCCAAGGUUUUGGUGCCUGUUGCGAACGGGAGUGAGCCGAUUGAAGCCGUGAUAACGAUCGAUGUUUUGAGAAGGUCUGGAGCUGACGUCACGGUUGCGUCUGUGGAUAAACAGCUUCGUGUCGACGCGUGUCAUGGUGUCAAGAUUGUCGCUGAUGCUCUCGUGUCUGACUGCCGCGACGCUGUUUCUGAUCUUAUAGCUCUGCCCGUAUGUAUUGCAGCUCACCUCAGCUCAUGCUAAUUUAUGUGAUGUUUGUAUAAUUAUAGAUGAUUACUGCUGAUACUGAAUGUUAAAGCUAAAUAAUUCGUUCUUAAGUCAUCUUCAUUUAAUUUUCGAUUGAAAAUGAAAAAAAAAAUAAUUUUAAGCAAAGAAAAUGUUUAUUUUGUUUUAUUUUUAUUUUUAAAUUUUUGGGAUUUCCUUAUUGUGACUGUUGUCAUUCAUUAUAUGGUCCUAGUUAAAUGUUUCAAGUUGUUGUAGUCUGUGAAACUCUUUUCGAUAUUUGUUCUGGCAUGUACAUUUUUCCUUUCAAUUUAUUUUGUUGCUGAUACUUUGAUUAUGAUAUAUCCUUUUUUGUUUCCCUUGUAGGGUGGCAUGCCCGGUGCUACCAAUCUGAAAGAAUCUGAAGUAUUAGAAACCAUUGUGAAGAAGCAGGCUUCAGCUGGGCGUCUUUAUGCUGCUGUCUGUGCUUCACCUGCUGUGGCAUUAGGGUCUUGGGGUCUGUUGAAGGGAUUGAAGGUAAGAAUUAGAUAAGCCUUUUUUUAUGUUUGGUGUUCUUUUGGGAAUUGCAUUGAUAUUUGUGUUAUACAUCAGUUUUGCUCUCACCGAUGAUUGUUAAGUUCUAAUUUAUGGGGUUAUUCAUUUUUUGUAGGCUACUUGUUACCCGUCAUUUAUGGAGCAAUUAGCUCCUGCUUGUGCAGCAACUGUUGAAUCAAGAGUACAGCAGGAUGGUAAAGUUGUUACGAGUCGUGGACCUGGCACUACUAUGGAGUUUGCCAUUGCACUUGUCGAGCAGUUGUAUGGGAAAGAGAGAGCUGAUGAAGUUUCUGGGCCACUGGUAGUAACUUUUAUAGAUAAUGUUGUUUAAAAAAAUUGUGAGUUAUAUAAUUUGUGGAAAUUCAUUCUAAUAGGUUCAUCUAGUAUGUCAAAUUGGAAGGUUCAGAUGCUAAUAUAUUCCAAAAAAUUUGUUCAGGGGAAAAGUAUGACUUUUUGCAUUAGAGAUUCAUUAGAUGAAGUUGUAUACCUGCUGGCCCAUCUUAAUGUGGUGAAAACGAUGUCUGAUGAGACUGAUAUAAUUAUUGGAAUCUUGAUAAAUGCAUUUGUUGAGCUUGAAUGUCUCCACUGAUCACGUUCUUUUUAAUGUAAGUUCUUUCUCUUGGUAUUUGUCUUUGAAUCUUCUCUUCCUCAUGCUUUCGUCUUCACUGUCACCUUGUGCCUAGGUAAUGCGUGCAAAUCAUGGAGAUGAAUACACUAUUGCUGAAUUCAAUCCAAUUCAGUGGACAUUUGACAAUUCUCCCCAAGUAAGAUUUGACUUCUAGUUUCUUGUAGUUGUUUUUCUUCAUCCGAUGUUUUCAGGGAUACCCAUUUGGCAGUAUAUAAAAGUCUGUGAUAUCUUCUAUACAUAUACAUCAUUGGCUUCAGUCAUUUUCGAACAUAUUGGAGGUAGUAGAUGUAUUUUUAUGAUAUCUCUAAUAAAAUCCCAAGUUUGAUCAAUUACAAAAGAAGUAUGAGCGGUGCUGGACCGGGGGGGAAGAAGAAGUGGGGGGUCGGUGUGGUGGGGGUGUGCAGUGCAUGAAUAAAAGGAAAUGAUAGGGGGUGAAAGUUUGUGCUACCGACAUGCUGUAAAAUGGGGACAUAAUAUUUCAAAUUAGAUAUUGUGUGAUCCUUAAUAUUGCUGACUUUUGCUUAAAAUGGAAUUCUUGAUAACUUCAAAUGUUAAAGUUCUUGGUGAAAUUUUGUACUUUCUUUUCUUUCAGAUUCUUGUGCCUAUUGCAAAUGGUUCAGAGGAGAUGGAAGCUGUUAUGAUAAUUGAUAUUCUGCGACGAGCUAAAGCAAAUGUUGUAGUUGCAUCAGUUGAGGAUAAACCAGAAAUUCUGGCUUCUCGUCAAAUUAAAUUAGUGGCAGAUGUGCUCAUUGAUGAGGCGGCUAAACUCUCGUAUGAUUUAAUUGUCUUGCCAGUGAGUUGGGGUGCUUACUGUUGCUUCAUAGUCUUUACCACAUAAUUGACUUACUAACUACAAUUUAUCCAUGCACAUUGCAUAGGGUGGACUUGGUGGCGCUCAAGCAUUUGCGAAGUCAGAGAAAUUGGUGAAUAUGCUAAAGAAGCAAAAGGAAUCAAAUAGACCUUACGGUGCUAUAUGUGCAUCCCCAGCUUUAGUGUUGGAGCCCCAUGGCUUACUCAAGGUACGACCAUUUCUGCUUAAAUUAUUUACUCAGAUUUGGAUCACCUAAUCUGAACUUGAUGAAGGAUUAUGAUGUUGUGUGAUUUUAUGAAUGUGGUCUUAUCUCAUGUAAGUCGGUGAUGAAUUAAUUGAAGUUUGCUGACAAAUUAGAAACUGAAAAACUGCUGCUGCUUCGUUAGUUACAUUACCCAAAGAGUUAAAAUAAACAUCCCAAAUUUUUUGUCCCAAAUUCUGUCCCAAAUGAUAUGGCAUUUAUUGAGUGAUUGUAUUAUCUAACCAACCAAUUGAUGAAUGACACAUCAUUUGAGAUGGUUUUUUGGGAUAAAGAAUUUGGGAUUUUUACCCGCAAAAAUCCCAAGUACUUCCUGCUCCUGCAAUAUCAUUGCUGUGUAUUUGUUUUCCCCUUAGACAUAUUCAAUUGUGGUUCAGGGUAAAAAAGCUACAGCUUUUCCUGUUAUGUGCAACAAGCUGUCAGAUCAGAGUGAAAUCGAAAACAGGGUUGUGGUUGAUGGCAACCUCAUCACCAGUAGAGGGCCAGGAACUUCUAUGGAGUUUGCACUGGCAAUUGUGGAGAAGUUUUUUGGCCGCAACAAGGCACUUGAGCUUGCAAAGAUAAUGCUUUUCACUCGCACCUAACAUUUGUACGGGGACCUGACUACUAUUAAACUAGUGUGUUUAUUUCUGUAUUGCUACUGCUUGUAGAGAGGGGAAAUGGAAACUUGAAUUCAUGUUUGAAUAUGGAUUCACUGUGUGGGUUUGUACAGCAGUUUGAUUUAUAAAUAAAUGAGUUCAAAGAGUUACUUCAAAUAUUCGGAAUAAACCUGAGUUUAGUUCUGUUAUCAAUGGUCGGAGUCCAAUUGCGAUCGACACACUGGGAAUUUUAAUUAUGAACUAAAAAAUUGUUAUGUUAUAUUCCACCUUUCUCAUAAAAUGUUAACUCGAUUUACAGGAUAAGAAGGAAAAGAAAGACGCUAAGAGAGGAGCAGAGACCCAAAAAGAGUUGACCACUUUGUUGGAACAUAAACCUCUAGAAUAUUGAAAUAAAACACAUACCAUAUCUAGUAUUAAGUAUGUAUAUGCAAGAAGAUACAAAUUUGAAGAUCAGAUUUCUCAUUUCAAUUUAUGUUCUGCUUAGAGCAAUGGCUCUUAUUCCACAAGCACAAACAGGAAAGAGUACGCACGAAGUUAAGAAACACACAUUGCAAAAGUUGCAUUAACUACUUGCAGCAGCAUCAUCCAAGAACUUGACUUUAAUCUUCUUGAGCUUCGCUGCGGCAUCUGUCAUAUGCAUUCUCUUGUCAGGUGACUCUAUACAACAAUCCAAAGCCAAAUCCAUGAUGCUUAAUAAACAAUCCAUUUUGGCAGAAAAAGCUUGCUCUUCUCGCACCAAAUUUGCGUCAACAACUUCAGUCAAUCCGUGAGGUAAAGACUCCUUUACCCAUCUCCUUAAACUCAUUUCUCCUGCGAACAUUUCAUCGGUGGGCCUCUUUCUCGUGAAGGUUUCCAUCAAUAAAACACCAUAGCUGUAGACAUCACAUUUAGCUGAAACAAUUCCUUCUGAUCCAUACUCUGCAUUUUUUAAUUUUAAUUAUGAAACAAAUGAUAAAACAAAUAAUUUUUUGAUAAUUAAGGUAACCCAAACUUUGCUCGUGCUUGAAAAAAGAGUAAAAAUUUUAAUUACAAUUGAAACUUUACCUGGUGCCAUAUAACCAAUUGUAGCCAUUGUCAUGGUUUGUGUCACAGAAUCUUCUCCUUCACCUAAGAGUUUGGAAAUGCCGAAGUCGCUCACAUGUGCCACCAUAUUUUCAUCCAAGAGAAUGUUGGUGGGCUUCAAAUCACAAUGAAUUAUAGGUGCCGACGAAUGACCAUGAUGGAGAUAUUCAAGGGCCGACCCCACAUCUAUCAUUAUGUUCAACCUCUCUAGGAUGUCUAAGAAAUAGUUGUGAGAAUAUAACCACUUCUCGAGACUACCAUUUGGCAUGAACUCAAGUACCAAUGCUUUAAAAUCUUGAUUAGAACAACUGCUAAGGAUCUUUAUGAGAUUUCGAUGACGAACAUUCAGUAAAACUUCACAUUCAGAAUCAAAACUCCUAAAUGCUCUCUCUAGUUGCAGAUUGAAAACCUUUAUCGCAACAUCAGUCCCGUCGGAAAUGGUUCCUUUAUAAACUGAUCCAAAGCUACCUGUACCAAGCAAGUUACAUUCAUUAAAUUCAUCAGUUGCUCGUUGAAUGUCUAGGUAGGAUGUUCUUCUCCAUGUUGCAAGAGGUAGGAAAUCUUCGUGAUCUGAUUUUUUUGUACUCCUCUUUCGGCAUCUUAUGUACAUAAUGAUGAUAAUCACUAUAAGUACAGAGGAUACUAUCGGAGGCAAAAUAUAUUUAAGGACAAUUAGAGCAACGUUUUUGGUGCUUUUGCUGUCACCUUGUUUGCAAGGUGGGACUCGGAAUUUAGGUGGACCACAGAGUGCAUAAUUUCCGAAAAAUGAUUCAGCUGACAAGUUUUUAAAAGACCCCUUAACAGGAAUUUCCCCUUCUAGCCUAUUAUGAGACACAUUAAAUUGUUUGAGAUGUGAAAGUGUCUCCAAUGACUUAGGAAUUUUUCCAGAGAGAUUGUUGCCAGAGAGAUCUAAGGAUUCUAAGCUUAUCAAACUACCAACUGAUUCAGGAAUAGGUCCUUGAAAUUGAUUACUAGCCAAUGAUAGAGUUUCUAUAUCUUUGAGGGCACCGAUGGUUGAUGGAAUAUCACCUGAUAAUUGAUUCCUUGAUAAAUCUAAAACUCUCAAGACCUUUAACUUUUGUACAUUGGAAGGGAGAGAAUCAUUUAACGAAUUUGACGACAAGUUUAUCUCUAAGAUGUACUCAAGGCUCCACAAGGAUGACGGUAUACUAGAAGUGAGCUUGUUGGAGCCUAAGUGGAGUUCUCUUAGAGAUGUCAGACUCGCCAAGCAUGGUGGUAUAUGUCCAGAGAGCUUAUUUCCAUUUAACAUUAUUCCGUACAUCAACUCCAAGUGGCAAAGAUCAUAGGGAAUGGAUCCUUCCAAAUUAUUUUCUUCAAGAGAUAAACCUUGUAGCCGCUUAAGUCUUCCCAUCGUUGGUGAAAUAGUUCCAUUCAAGUCAUUGAAGCCGAGGCUUAAGAGGAUCAGGCCACGCAACUUACCAAUUUCUUUAGGAAUGCUGCCCCCGAGUUUGCAGUUGGAUGCAUAAAAUUGUCGAAGAGAAGCAGAGAAAUUUCCAAUUACUGGUGGAAGGAUGCCACCCAAUGGAUUAUAAGCUAAGGCUAAAACUGUUAAAUUUCUGCAAUUAGUCAGAGAAGAGAGAAAACUCCACUGAUCUGCUGAAGAUGAUUCUGUCGUCAAGUUAUUAAAUGCUAAGCCAAGCACGCCGAGGUGUCUCAAGUUGCCAAAUGUAUUUGGAAUAUGGCCUGAGAAUGAGUUAAAGCUCAAUUCUAGGCCAAUGAGUUUAGAAGCGUUUGUGAUGGAGUUGGGAAUUUUUCCGGUAAGGUUAUUGGCCGCCAAGGUUAAAUACUCUAUGCUCGGAAGCGAGUGGCCAAUCGUUGAUGGUAAGUGGCCUGAAAGUUGAUUGCUAAUUAGAUUAAGGACUGUUAGGGUUGAAAUGUUGAAGAUUGUGGGUGGAAUGGGGCCACUUAAAUUAUUCGCACUAAGAACAAGGGUAUCCAAAUUUUGUAGAUUGCCAAUCUCAGUUGGAAUUUGACCUGUCAUAAAGAUAAACGCCAAAUUGAUGAGUUAUUGAGCUUUUUACUUAACAUAAAUUUUAAUUUCAUAACGCAUGAAAAUCAAAUUUGCCCACAAAAUGUGUGUUAUUAGUUUUAUAAUUUUUUUUUGGGUUUUUUUUGGGGGGGGGGGGGGGGAGAUUGAUAUUGCUACCUCAUAAUUUUUGUAAAACCCCACCCGCUUUCAGAGAAUUAUUGGAACAAGAUUCUUAAAAAAAUUCAAAUAAAGAAGAAGUUUGGAGAAAUAAUCAAUUAAAUCCAUCUUAAUAUACUUUUUGAAACUUAUAUUCUUUUAUCAUAUAUAAUAACUAAGGUUGCUUUAACAUAAAUUUAAUAUAACUAGUCUACUCUCAUAAGGUAGAAUUACUAAAAUACCCACAAAUUUACUUCAACUUCAACUAAACUAACAAAAUGUAUUUGUUGACAUGUGGGGAACUAAAAAUUAUUGAAUUUUAUUUUAGAAAUAUUGUAUUACAAAACAUAAAACAAAAUGCCGAAACUAUAUAUUAGAUACAAUAGUACAUGUUUUUCGGGGUAAUUUGGUCAUUUUAUAUUAUAAGAGUAAAAUAGUCAAAUUAAACUUAUUUUAAAGCAACCGUAAACGGUCAAAGAUUGUUAAAAGCCCUAAGUCAUAAAAGAAAAACAUUAUAAAAAUAAUUUAUUAAUUGUUCAGACUUAAUUUAUAAUUUUAUAACAUAAUGUGAACUUAUUAUAACUAUCUUUUCAAAAUGAGGUGGGUUUGCAAGAAUAAUGAGUGGAAAUAUCCCCACCCUAUAAAAUAAAAAGAAUUUUGCAGCUAUGCAAAUGCAAAUAUGUAGAACGUACCUUGUAGGUUGUUAUAACCUAGAUUCAGAAUGAAAAGGCUGCUAAAAUUUCCUAUCCCUGAAGGAAUAUUUCCAUCAAUAACGUUGUAGAUUGCGUCGAACACCUCCAGCUUCGAUAAAUUGAGGAGAGAAUUUGGGAUUGGACCCGUGAAACUGUUAUUAUAAAGCCUCAACGUUUGUAAUUUGGAUAAGACACCAAUCCAUGUUGGAAUGCUUCCACUCAAUUUAUUGAAACCGAAUCUAAUGAAUCUGAGUCGGCGUAAUUGCCCCAAUUCAUUAGGCAGAUGGCCAUGAAAAUUAUUAUGAGCAACAUCAAGAGAUACUAAGAACGUGAGAUUUCCCAAGUGUAGUGGAAUGGUGCCUCCGAGACCCAUAUCUGAAAGAUUCAAGGCAGUGACUCUUUGAUGGCGUGAACCACAAGAGAUACCAACCCAGCUACAUAUUGGAUAAGAUAUAGACCAAUUAUUUGUCAGAUCACUUCGAUAAUCAACGACACGGGCUUUGAAUGCAAGAAGAGCCGAUUGAUCUGUUGUUAAGUUGCUCAAAGUCGUCAUAGCUAAGCUAGCUAUGGAAUAUUGUACCAACAACAUAGGAACAAAGAAGAAUGAUAAGCACAUAUUGGUCGUUUUUUUUUAUAGAUGCAGCAAUCUAAUUGCUAGGUGAAGUUGAUACAAGUUUUAAGUGAAGGAAACUAGCAUAUACUUAUACAAGAGACGUAUGAAUUUGAAAACAAGAAAAGAAAAAAAUGUACAGGAGAGUGGAGACAUGCAAAUUGGUAUAUUUCAUCAUUGAGCGAGUCGUCCAAGUAAACUCAUACAGACCUGUAAAUUGUUAUAGGCCGCGGUACUUGAACCGUGAAUAAAGGGCUUAUGGCACUUGACUUACCAAAAAGAAGAAGAUGCUCAACAUUGGCAAGGCCUAUGCAUUCUGUCCAUUUGUUCACGUUUUGCCAAGGCUCAGGGCAACCACAAUAUGUUCUUUUUCUUCCCUCUUAAAACAAAAAACAAAAAAAAAAGACGACAUUUACAUUUGGGCUAAUAAUUAUAACUAAACAAUUAAUAAUACUGAGGGUCAGUGGUAAUGUAGCUUUAAAAUAAUUGUUAUUAGUUGUGUCUUAAAAAUAAAGAAAAAAAAUAACUAUACCCAUAUAAUUAAUAAAAUAAUCAUGUAAAUUCCUAAGCUUUUAACAAUAUACACCAAGACCCCCUACCGUUACUUUUUACCAUUUAUUUGGAUGUCACAUGCUUUUUUUUUUUAAUUUUCACAGUGGAUAUCAAAUGCUAAAUUUACUGUUAUUCCCAUAUCAUGUCAUCACUUGCUUCUACACACAUUGAUUGUUUUUCCAAAGUUUCAAAUUGAAUUAAAAACAUUCUAAUUAACCUAAAAAAAACUCAUCCAACCAGAUAUAAAUCAUCUAAUUAACCUAAAGAUAGCUACACCCCCAUAUUAAUUCCAAUUAAAUAAAAUUCAUUUUUGUCAUGAUUUUGGAUCUCGAGCAGGGUGGAUAUAUCCAACUAGAUCCGCCCCAUUGGCAUUCCAGUAUAUUCUGUAAUUGGAAGAGUAUGAAUGACUUAAUUUGUAAUUUUAAAUUUGUAACGUUCAAUUCUAAUUUGAGGAUUCAAAUGAAUUUAUGCGAAUCUAAAAGGGGACUGAAGAUUGGCAUGCAUACAUGCAUACAUAUACAUAUAUAUAUAAAUAGAGAGAGAGAGAGAGAGAGAGAGAGAGAGAGGUAAUAUAACAUUCUUCUUGAUGAAGAUUUUUGUGCCAUACGAAUUAAAGAGAGUAUUGUGUCGAUGUUCGAGGCUAGAGCGACAAUUGGUUACAUUGCUUCAGAGGUGUUUAGUAGAAACUUUGGUGAGGCAUCACAUAAUUUAAAUUACUAGAUUUAGCGAGAUAUAUAUAUUUUCCACAUUGGAUUUACAAGCAUUUCGAGCAGUAUAAUGAAUUAAAAUUACUCGGAAUUGUAAACAGCGAGGAAAGUGAAAUUGCUAAGAAGAUGAAUAUUUUGUUGUUUUGUGGUGUACACGGACUCGUCCAUCGGAUAGGUCGCCCAUGAACAGAGGGAUAGAAAUGUUAUUGCCAAGAAGCAGACUGACUAGCAGUGACGCUUUGAAAAGUCCACCGGACAUCGUCUCCUCCAAGACCACCAAUAGAUUCUUCCACCAUUUCAACGUCGUGACGUGGGGAUCGGAAUUGAAUUAUAGGAUGCUUGUAAGUUUCCUUUGUGGAACUUGUGAAUUUGUGAUGGCAAAAGUCAAUGAUGCAUGUAACUAGCUAGCCCGUGUAGACUCCGUUUUACACUUUUUCAAAACCCAAAAGCACGCUAAAUCUUAAUCUUAAAAGAAUUUUUGAUUCAGUGCUGAAUUUUGGGCUUAUCUUUAAGUAAUCUUUUACCACGCAUGCAUUUUUGUCAUUGUGCAGUCAUCGAUUGCUUCUAAAGAUCGUAAUCCUUAAGAAAAAAUUACUUCUCUUGAAAGUGAAAGCAGGGCAGCUAUUGGCGUAUUGCAUUGCAGCUGCUAUGUGUAGUAGUCAAUUCUUGGAAACAACUAGUUUUCUUAAAUUGUAAACGGUCCCCUUUAUGACUGGGAGAUUUUGAACAAAAUUAAUAUGACGAAUUCUUUGCAGGUGUUGUUCCUUGAAGUCUCAUCUUUCACAAUGUUUCUGAAAUAAAGAUAUUACCAUCUCUGAUUUAAUAUUUAUUCUUGAUUUGUACCACCUAAUCUGAACUUGAUGAAAGAAUAAAGAUUAUGAUCUUGCCUGAUUUUAUUAAUGUGGUCUUAUCUCACGUAAGUCAGUAAUGAAUUAAGGAAAAUUAUCAUUCGUAUACCCUAUAAUUGCUCUGUUAUAAAAAAUACUACAACACUUUGAGGGUGUAUCAAUUGUCCACCCUAAGUUAACAAAAUGUAUCUGUCAUCCACCAAACCGUUAUUUGCCGUUUAAAUAGAAUGACACCAGAGGGGUAAUUUUAUCUUUUCAUAUGAUACAAGUGAUAAUUUAAGGGUAUACAAGUGAUAAUAAAAGAAUUUAAAGGUAUACAAGUGAUAAUUUUAUUUACUUUAAUUUAAGUUUCAAGGGUAAAAUCGUCAAUUCACUAUAAUUCCGUUAACUUUCAAACGGUAGCUAACGGUUUGGUGGUCGGCAGAUAGCUUUUGUUAAUUUAAGGUGGACGAUUGAUAUACUCUCAAAGUGUUGUAGUAUUUUUGAUAAUAGAGCAACUAUAGGAUAUAUGAUUGAUAAUUUCCCAUGAAUUAAUUAAAGUUUACUGUCAAAUUACAAACACAAAAACUGCUGCUGCUUCAUUAUUCACAAUACCUAAAGUCAGUGCAGAACUUAAUAAGUUUUCCAAAAGUUUUACGCUUUCUUUCCCCCAAAUCCCAAGUACUUACUAGAUAUGUCAUGUUUAUACCCAAAGUCAGUGCAGAACUUACUCGAUAUGUCAUGUUUACACAAGAGUUUGUUUAUAAAUAAAUGAGUUGACAAAUAUUUGCCAAAAAAAACGGUGAGUGAUGUCUAGUUCUAUUUUCACAGUUCAGAGUCCAAUUUUGAUUACUGGAAAUUUUAAUUAUGAAGUUGAACUAAGAAUUUGUUAUAAUAUCUUCAACCUUCCUAUACAGUCAUCUGGAAUAAUAAUAUAUCAAAAACAGUAAUAACUCGAUUUACAGGGUGAGAAAGAAAAGAAAGACGCUACGAGGGAAGCAGAGAUUCAAAGACUUCGCCACUUUGUUGGAGGAACAAUUUCAUAAAUCUCCAGAAUAUUGACAUAAAACACAUAACAUACAUAUCUAGCAUUAAGUAUAUUUAUGUAUGUCCAAAGAUAAAAAUUUGAAGAUUAAAUUUAUCAUUUCAAUUUAUGUUCUGCCCAAAGCAAUGGCUUUUAUUCCACAAGCACAAACAAGAAAGAGUACGCACAAAGUUAACAAACACACAUAGCAAACGUGACAUCAACCACUUGCAGCAGCAUCAUCCAGAAACUUCACUCUAAUCUUCUUGAGCUUUUCAGCGGCGUCUUUCGUAGAUGCCCCCUGUUCUGGUGAUUCCAUGCAACAAUCCAAUGCCGAAUGCAUGAUGCUUAAUAAACAAUUCAUUUUAGGAGAAAAAACUUGCUCUUCUCUCACCAAGUUUGCAUCGACAACAUCACUCAAGGCACGAGGUAAUGACUCCCUUACCCAGUCUCUUAAACUUAUUUCUCCUGUAAACAUUUCAUUUGUGGGAUUCUUUCUGGUGAAAGUUUCCAUCAAUAAAACACCAUAACAAUAGACAUCACCUUUGGCCGAAAUCAUUCCUUCUAAUCCUUACUCUGCAUUUUUUUGGUUUCGAUAGAUCAAAUGGAUGUGACAUCAUAAAACAAAUGAUAAACAAAUAGUCUUUUGACAGUCAAGAUGGCCCAAACUUUGACUGUGCUUCGAAAAGAGCGAAAAUUUGAAAUUAUAAUUGAAACCUUACCUGGUGCCAUAUAACCAGUUGUAGCCACUGUCAUGAUUUGGGUCACAGAAUUUUCUUCAUCACCUAAGAGUUCGGAAAUGCCGAACUCACAUGUGCCACCAUAUUUUCAUCCAAGAGAAUGUUGCUAGGCUUCAAAUCACAAUGAAUUACAGGUGCUGAUGAAUGAUCGUGAUGGAGAUAUUCAAGUGCCAGCCGCACAUCUAUCAUUAUAUUCAACCUCUCUAGGAUAUCUAGGAAAUAGUUGUGUGAACACAACCAUUUCUCAAGACUACCAUUGAGCAUGAACUCAAGCACCAGUACUUUAGAAUCUGGAUUGCAACAGCUGCUAGUGAUCUUUGUGAGAUCUUGAUGACGAACAUUCCACAAUACUUCACAUUCAGAAUCAAAACUCCUAAAGGCUCUCUCUAGCUGCAGAUUGAAAACCUUUAUUACAAUAAUAGUCACAUCAUAAAGUGUGCCUUUAUAAACAGAUCCGAAGCUCUCCAUACCUAGCAGGAUACAUUCACUAAAUCCAUCAGCUGCUCGUUGAAUAUCAUGAUAGGAUAGUCUUCUCCAUGUUGUCGAAGAGAACAAAUCUUCUUUAUCUGGAGUUCUUGUUUUCCUAUUUUGAAAUAUUAUGAAGAAUCAUAACAAUUGUUAUUAGUGCAUUGGAUAUAAUCGAAGGCAAAGUAUAUUUCAGGACAAGCAGAGUAGCAUUCUUGGAUCCUUUGCUAUUAUCUUCUUUGCAAGGUGGGACUUGAAGGCCUGGUGGACCACAUAGUGCAUAAUUCUCAAAAAACGAUUGAGCUGAAAUGUUUUUAAAAGGUCCUUUGAUAGGAAUUCCCCCUUCUAGCCUAUUGUGAGACACAUUAAGUUGUUUGAGAUAUGAGAGUGCCUCCAUUGACUUUGGAAUUUCUCCAGAGAGAUUGUUGCUAGGGAGAUCCAAAGAUUCCAACCUUAUCAAACUACCAAAUGAUUUAGGGACCAGACCAUAAAAUUGGUUUCUAGCCAAGGACAAAGUUGCUAGAUCUUUGAGGCCACCAAUACUUACUGGUAUAUCACCUGAUAAUUGAUUUCUUGAUAAAUCAACUCUAUUAAGACCUUUAAGUUUUGUACAUCUGAAGAUAGAUGACCACUUAGAGAAUUUGUUGACAAGUUUACAUACAAGAUGUACUCAAGAUUCCACAAGGAUGAUGGGAUACUAGAAGUGAGCGUGUUGCAGCUUACAAAGAGUGUUUUUAAGGAAUUGAAUAUCUGAAAUCUUGUAUGUAAAUAUUAACACUUAGAGAAUUUGUUGACAAGUUUUUAAGGAUUUACUGAUUAAAUAAUUUUCCAAUUUGUUUGCCUGGAGGAAUUGAAUAGUUAACUGAUUAAAGGAUUUCAAGGUGGUUAGGUCCAGCCGAGCAUUGUAAAUAUUAACGGUCAUUAUGAAUGUGUAAUUCCUAUAUGUGAAAUUGAAUUUCCAUGGUAAAUUUCUGCUAGGGUGUGAUUGUAUGGUAGCCAAUUGUGAGCAACAGAUCCACAUAGUAAUAUAGACUGAAAUUUUGCGUCUUAAGCCAUGAAGAUAUAGAUUUUGGCAAAUAUUAUACAAGCAUUGUUUGCAACACCACAGCUAAUUUGCAGUAGGAUGAAACACUCAGAAUUUUGCCUUUUUCAUGUAUAAAAUUUUAUUUUUUUAAUUGUGAUAUUACAGUUUUGCCCAUCAAGCAUUAUGAAGCUUAAUAUUUGGAUAAAUGUUAGGUUUAAUCUAUAAAUUUUAACUUCAGUGUUUAUUUAGUUUUUAUAUUUUGUAAAAUAUCUCAAGGCAGCCCUAUUAUCAAAUAUUGGCUUGAUCCGUAUAUAUUAACUUCAGUGCUUUAUUUAGGUUUUAUAUUUUGAAAAAUACUUUAAGGCAGUUCUAUUAUCAAAUAUGUUAUGCUCUUGCUUUUAUUUUUUCUUUGUUUUUAUAAUAAUACUCUGAUAACAAUAUUUUUUUACAUUAAUUUUUUAAUCAAUAAAAAGGUAACUAGCAAAUUAACUGAUAAAUUAAUUUGUUAAUUUUUUUAAUCAAUAAAAAAUUUAAUUAAUAAAUUACUUGGUAGCAAAUUAAAAAAUAAAUAUUAGCAUAAAACAAUUGAUAUUUUUCAUUCUCUUACAACAAUCUUACUAAUAAUUUUUUUAUAAAAAAUUAAUUUAUUAAAUUAAUCCUUAAAAGUAAAAUAAUAAUAAUUAAUUUGUAUCUUAGUUUUAAAGUUAAUUUGAUAAAUUCAAUUUUUUAAUUAAUAUCUCCAAAAAUAUAGUUGCAACGAUAUUAUUGCAAAAGUAAAAAAAAAAAUAUAUAUAGAAUUUUAAUAUAACUGCCAGUAAAAAUAACUUGAAAUAUUUUUUAAGAUAUAAAAAUUAAACCAACACUUAAUUAAAAAUAUAAAGAAUUAAAUAAACAUUUAUCUUCUAACAUUUCAACCUACUGGCUAAUGGUCAUACAAUCGUGGUGUGGUCCGGGAUGCCCGGCCCAGCCCAUCAUGCAAAAAGCCAUGUCACCCAUAUUCUUAGGCUGCUACUGCAUUAAAAAAAUGAUAUUAAUAAGCGUACGCCACGUCACUCCUCACUCUCUUCUUCGUCACUUUCCUCUCACUCAACAUUUUCUCCCCAAACAAAUUCCUUCUUUGAAAAAUCGCAUUUUCUCCUUCACAGCAACAGCUACAAUGUCUUCAACUUCCAAAAAGGUGAUUUUUUUUUAAUUUUAUUUUUUGUUUAGUUUCUUUCUGUUGCCUUUUUGUUUCGUUUUUUGAAUUUUCUGUGUCGUUUUUUUCCCCCAAGGUUUUGGUGCCUGUUGCGAACGGGAGUGAGCCGAUUGAGUCCGUGAUAACGAUCGAUGUUUUGAGAAGGUCUGGAGCUGACGUCACGGUUGCGUCUGUGGAGAAACAGCUCCGUGUCGACGCGUGUCAUGGUGUCAAGAUUGUCGCUGAUGCUCUCGUGUCUGACUGCCGCGACGCCGUUUUUGAUCUUAUAGCUCUUCCCGUAUGUAUUGCAGCUCUCCUCAGCUCGUGCUAAUUUAUGUGAUGUUUGUAUAAUUAUAGAUGAUUACUGCUGAUACUGAAUGUUAAGCUAAAUAAUUCGUUCUUAAGUCAUCUUCAUUUAAUUUUCGAUUGAAAAUGAAAAAAAUAAUAAUUUUAAGCAAAGAAAAAUAUAGAAAAUGUUUAUUUUGUUUAAUUUUCAAUUUUUAAUUUUCAGGGAUUUCAUUAUUGUGACUGUUAUCAUUCAUUAUAUGGUCAUAGUUAAAUGUUUCAAAUUGUUGUAGUCAGUGAAAUUCUUUUCGAUAUUUAUUCUGGCAUGUAUAUUUUUCCUUUUCAAUUUCUUUUGUUGCUGAUUCUUUGAUUAUGUUAUAUCCUUUUUUGUUUCCCUUGUAGGGUGGCAUGCCCGGUGCUACCAAUCUGAAGGAAUCUGAAGUAUUAGAAAGCAUUGUGAAGAAGCAGGCCUCAGCUGGGCGUCUUUAUGCUGCUGUCUGUGCUUCACCUGCUGUGGCAUUAGGGUCUUGGGGUCUGUUGAAGGGAUUGAAGGUAAGAGUUAGAUAAGCCUUUUUGAUGUUUUGUGGUCUUUUGGGAAUUGCACUGAUAUUUUUGUUAUGGUUCAGUUUUCUUCUCGCUGAUGAUUGUUAAGUUCUAAUUUAUGUAGUUGUUCAUUUUUCCUAGGCUACUUGUUAUCCGUCAUUUAUGGAGCAACUAGCUCCUGCUUGUGCAGCAUGUUGAAUCAAGAGUACAGCAGGAUGGUAAAGUUGUUACGAGUCGUGGACCGGGCACUACCAUGGAGUUUGCCGUUGCACUUGUUGAGCAGUUGUAUGGGAAAGAGAAAGCUGAUGAAGUUUCUGGGCCACUGGUAUUAGCUUUUAUAGAUAACGUUGUUUAAAAAAAUUAUGAGUUAUAUAAUUUGUGGAAGCUUCAGAUGCUAAUGUAUUCAAGAAAAUAAGUUCAGGGGAAGAGUAUGACUUUUUGCAUUAGUGAUUCAUUAGAUGAAAUUGUAUACCUGCUGGUCCAUCAUAAGGUGGUGAAAACAAUGUUUGAUUUAAUUAAUGAAAUCCUGAAAUAUGCAUUUGUUGAGCUUCAAUGUCUCCACUGAUAAAAUUCUUUUUAAUGUAAGUUCUUUCUCUUGGUAUUGUAUUUGAAUUUUCUGUUCCUCAUGCUUUCGUCUUUACUGUCACCUUGUGCCUAGGUAAUGCGUGCAAAUCAUGGAGAUGAAUACACUAUUGCUGAGUUCAAUCCAAUUCAGUGGACAUUUGACAAUUCUCCUCAGGUGAGAUUGGACUGUUAGUUUCUUGUAUUUGUUUUUCUUCUUCCAUGUUUUGAGGGAUACCCAUUUGGCAGUAAAUAAAAAUCUGUGAUAUCUUCUAUACAUGUACAUAUACAUCAUUGACUUCACUCAUUUGUGAACAUAUUGGAGGUAGUAGAUUUAUUGUUAUGAUAUGUCUAAUAAAAUCCAAAGUUCGAUGCAACUACAAAAGAAGUAUGAGCAGUGCUCGACCAGAGAGGAAAAAGGUGGUUUUUUUCUUUUUUUUUUUUGGGGGGGGGGGGGGGGUUGGUUGGGUGGCAAAGGGAAUGAUAAGUUCAGGGUAUCAACAAGCUGUAAAAUGGCUAUCGAAAAACUGAUAUUUCACAUUAGAGAAUGUGAGGACCUGAAGAUUGCUGACUUGUGGUCAAAAUGGAAUUCUUGAUAACUUUAAAUGUUAAAAAUUCUUGGUGAAAAUUUUGUACUUUUUUUUCUUUCAGAUUCUUGUGCCUAUUGCGAAUGGUUCAGAGGAGAUGGAAGCUGUUAUAAUAAUUGAUAUUCUGCGACGAGCUAAAGCAAAUGUUGUGGUUGCGUCAGUUGAGGAUAAACUAGAAAUUCUGGCUUCUCGUCAAGUUAAAUUAGUGGCAGAUAUGCUUAUUGAUGAGGCAGCUAAACUUUCGUAUGAUUUGAUUGUCUUGCCAGUAAGUGGGGUUGCUAACUCUUGCCUCAUAGUCUUUACCAAAUUAUUGACUUACUAGCUACAAUUUAUCUAUGCACAGGGUGGACUUGGUGGUGCUCAAGCAUUUGCGAAGUCAGAAAAAUUGGUAAAUAUGCUAAAGAAGCAAAAGGAAUCAAAUAGACCUUACGGUGCUAUAUGUGCAUCCCCAGCACUAGUGUUGGAGCCCCAUGGCUUACUCAAGGUAUGACCAUUUCUGCUUAAAUAUUUAUUCUUGAUUUGAAUCACCUAAUCUGAACUUGAUAAAACAUUGUGAUCUUGUGUGAUUUUAUGAACGUGGUCUUAUCUCAUGUAAGUCUGUAAUGAAUUUAUUGAAGUUUGCUGACAAAUUACAAACUCAAAAACUGCUGCUGCUUCAUUAGUUACAGUACCCAAGGAGUUAUGAUAGACAUCCCAAACUUUUUACCCCAAAUUCCCUCUCAAAUGACAUGGUAGUUAUUAAGUGGUUGGUAAUUUUUUAUAAGAUAUAAGUGAAUUAAUUAAUUAUAUUAUUUAAUCAACCAAUUGAUGAAUGUCACGCCAUUUGAGAUGAAUUUUUGGGAUGUGUAGCAAAACUUUAUGCUGAUUUGUUUUGGCUACAUUCAUGUAAAACAUUUUUCCCCAAAUCCCAAGAACUUCCCGCAAUAUCAUUCCUUUGUAUUUGUUUUCCCCUUUAGACAUGUUUAACUUUGGUUCAGGGUAAAAAGGCUACGGCUUUUCCUGCCAUGUGCAACAAGCUAUCAGAUCAAAGUGAAAUCGAAAACAGGGUUGUGGUUGAUGGCAACCUUAUCACCAGCAGAGGGCCAGGAACUUCCAUGGAGUUUGCACUGGCAAUUGUGGAGAAGUUUUUUGGCCGCAACAAAGCACUUGAGCUUGCAAAGAUAUUGCUUUUCACCCGCACCUAAAAUUUGUACCAGGACCCGACUAAUAUUAAACUAGAGUGUUUAUUUCUGUAUUACUACUGCUUGUAGAGAGGCGAAAUGGAAACUUGAAUUCAUGUUUGAAUAGGGAUUCACUGUGCGGGUUUGUACAAGAGCUUGUUUAUAAAUAAAUGAGUUCAUAAAGAGUCAUUUUAAAUAUUUGGAAUAAACGUGAGUUGCUGUUUAGUUCUGUUUUCAAUGUUCACCGUUCAAUUGUGAUCCAGAGCAAUAUAACUACACUCACUGGGAAUUUUAAUUAUGAACCAAGAACGAAGUUGAACCGAGAAUUUGAUACUUUAUAUAUUCCAGUUACCAUAUUUAAGAAAGAGUAUUGAAAAGAAAGACGCUAAGAGAGAAUAUUGAAGUUAAACAGAUACCAUAUCUAGUAUUAAGUCUGUAUGCCAAAGUUACAAAUUCGAAGAUCAGAUUCCUCAUUUCAAUUUAUGUUCUGCUCAAAACAAUGGCUCUUAUUCCACAAGCACAAACAAGAAAGAGUACGAACAAAGUUAACAGAGACACGCAGUGAAAAUUACGCUAAUUGGUUGCAGCAGCAUCAUCCAGGAACUUCACUUUAAUCCUCUUGAGCUUUGCUGCAGCGUCUGUCAUAUUUAUCCUCAUGUCGGGUGACUCCAUACAACAAUCCAAUGCCAAAUCCAUUAUGCUUAAUAUACAAUCCAUUUUGGCAGAAAAAGCUUGCUCUUCUCGCACCAAAUUUGCGUCAACAACUUCACUCAAUCCGUGAGGUAAUGACUCCUUUACCCAUGUCCUUAAACUCGUUUCUCCUGUGAACAUUUCAUCGGUGGGCCUCUUUCUCGUGAAAGUUUCCAUUAAUAAAACACCAUAGCUGUAGACAUCACAUUUAGCUGAAACAAUUCCUUCUGAUCCAUACUCUGCAUUUUUUUUAAUUUCAAUUAUGAAACAAAUGAUAAAACAAAUAAGUUUUUGAUAAUUAAGGUAACCCAAACUUUGCUCGUACUUGAAAAAAGAGUAAAAAUUUUAAUUACAAUUGAAACUUUACCUGGUGCCAUAUAACCAAUUGUAGCCAUUGUCAUGGUUUGUGUCACAGAAUCUUCUUCUUCACCUAAGAGUUUGGAAAUGCCGAAGUCGCUCACAUGUGCCACCAUAUUUUCAUCCAAGAGAAUGUUGGGAGGCUUCAAAUCACAAUGAAUUAUAGGUGCCGACGAAUGACCAUGAUGGAGAUAUUCAAGAGCCGACCCCACAUCUAUCAUUAUAUUCAACCUCUCUAGAAUGUCUAAGAAAUAGUUGUGAGAAUACAACCACUUCUCGAGACUACCAUUUGGCAUGAACUCAAGUACCAAUGCUUUAAAAUCUGGAUUAGAACAACUGCUAAGGAUCUUUAUGAGAUUUCGAUGACGAACAUUCUGUAAAACUUCACAUUCAGAAUCAAAACUCCUAAAUGCUCUCUCUAGUUGCAGAUUGAAAACCUUUAUCGCAACAUCAGUCCCGUCGGAAAUGGUUCCUUUAUAAACUGAUCCAAAGCUACCUGUACCAAGCAAGUUACAUUCAUUAAAUUCAUCAGUUGCUCGUUGAAUGUCUAGGUACGAUGUUCUUCUCCAUGUUGCAAGAGAUAGGAAAUCUUCGUGAUCUGAUUUUCUUGUACUUCUAUUUCGGCAUCUUCUGUACAUAAUGAUGGUAAUCACUAUAAGGACCGUGGAUACUAUCGGAGGCAAAAUAUAUUUAAGGACAAUUAGAGCAACUUUCUUGGUUCUUUUGCUGUUAUCUUGCUUGCAAGGUGGGACUCGAAGUUUAGGUGGACCACAGAGUGCAUAAUUUCCAAAAAAUGAUUCAGCUGACUAGUUUUUAAAAGACCCCUUAACAGGAAUUUCCCCUUCUAGCAUAUUUUGAGACACAUUAAAUUGUUUGAGAUGUGAAAGUGCCUCCAAUGACUUAGGAAUUUUUCCAGAGAAAUUGUUGCCGGAGAGAUCUAAGGAUUCUAAGCUUAUCAAACUGCCAACUGAUUCAGGGAUAGGUCCUUGAAAUUGAUUACUAGCCAAGGAUAGAGUUUCUAGAUCUACGAGGGCACCAAUGGUUGAUGGAAUAUUACCUGAUAAUUGAUUCCUUGAUAAAUCUAAAACUCUCAAGACCUUUAACUUUUGUACAUUGGAAGGGAGAGAAUCAUUUAAUGAAUUUGACGACAAGUUUAUCUCUAAGAUGUACUCAAGGCUCCACAAGGAUGACGGUAUACUAGAAGUGAGCUUGUUGGAGCCUAAGCGGAGUUCUCUUAGAGAUGUCAAACUCGCCAAGCAUGGCGGUAUAUGUCCAGAGAGCUUAUUUCCAUUUAACCUUAUUCCGUACAUCAACUCCAAGUGGCAAAGAUCAUAGGGAAUGGAUCCUUCCAAAUUAUUGUCUUCAAGAGAUAAACCUUGUAGCUGCUGUAAUGUUCCUACAGAUGUUGGAAUAGUUCCGUUCAAGUCAUUGAAGUCGAGGGUUAAGAGGAUCAAGCCACGUAAAUUACCAAUUUCUUUAGGAAUGCUGCCCCCGAGUUUGCACUCGUAAGCAUAAAAGCUUUGAAGAGAAGCAGAGAAAUUUCCAAUUAAUGGUGGAAGGAUGCCACCUAAUGGAUUAGAAUCUAAGACUAAAUAGGAUAGCUUUCUACAAUUAGUCAAAGAAGAGAGAAAACUCCACUGAUCUGCUGAAGAUGAUUCUGUCGUCAAGUUAUUCGUUCGUAUGCUGAGCACGUUGAGGUGCCUCAAGUUGCCAAAUGUAUUUGGUAUAUGGCCUGAGAAUGAGUUAGAGCCCAAGUCUAGACCAAUGAGUUUGGAAGCAUUGGUAAGAGAGUCAGGAAUUGUCCCGAUAAGAUUAUUGAUCGCCAAGGUUAAAUACUCUAUGUUCGGAAGCGAGUGGCCUAUCGUUGAUGGUAGGCGGCCUGAGAAUUGGUUGCUGUGUAGAUUAAGGACUCUUAUGGUUGAAAUAUUGAAGAUCGCGGGUGGAAUGAGGCCACUUAAAUUAUUCGUACCAAGAGCAAGACUCUCCAAAUUUUGUAGAUUGCCAAUCUCGGUUGGAAUUUGAUCUGUCAUAUCGAUUAAACCAACAUUGAUGAGUUAUUGAAUUUUUUGCUAAACAUAAAUUUAAUUUCAAAAUUCAUGAAAAUCAAAAUUUCCCACAAAAUAUGUGUUAUUAGUUUUAUAAUAAUUUAGGGGGUAAUGAUAUUUCUACCCCAUGAUUUUUGUAAAACACACAUGCUUUUAGAAAAUUAUUACCGCAAGAUCACAUUAUUCUUAAAAAUUCAAAUUAAGAAGAAGUUUCUAGAAUUAAUCAAUUAAAUCCAUAUUAAUUUAUAUUUGAAACUUAUAUUCUUUUAUUAUAUUUAAGUACUAAGGUUGUUUUAACAUAAAUUUAAUUGACUAUUUUACCCUCCUAAGGUAAAAGUACUAAAAUCCUCAAAAAUUUACUUCAACUAAACUAACAAAAUGUAUUUAUGACCUAUGGGGCAUUAAAAAUAUUGAAUUUUAUUUUUAAAAUAUUAUAUUACAAAACAUAAAACUAUAUGCUAGAUACUAUAGUACAUGUUUCUUGGGGUAAUAUAGUCAUUUUACAUUAUAAGGAUGAAAUAGUCAAAUUAAACUUAACUUGAAGCACCCGUAAAUGCCAAAAAUUGUUAAAAGACCUAAGUCAUAAAAGAAAAUUAUUAUCAGAAUAAUUUAUUUAGUUAAUUAUCUGACUUAUUGUUAAUUUAUAAUUUUAUAAGCUAUUGUGAACUUAUUGCAAUUAUCUAAUGGAGAUGAGGGGGGGUUUUGCAAGAAUAUGAGCGGCAGUAUUGCCACUCUAUAAAAUAAAAAGAAUUAUGCAGUCAUGCAAAUGCAAAUAUGCUGAACUUACCUUGCAGGUUGUUAUGACGAAGAUCCAAAUCAAAAAGGUUGCUCAAAUUUCCUAUCCCUGAAGGAAUAUUUCCAUCAAUAACGUUGAAACUUGCUUGUAACAUCUCCAAUUUCGAUAAGUUGAAGAGAGAAUUUGGGAUUGGACCCGUGAUAUUGUUAUUACGAAGACUCAUUAUUUGUAAUUUGGAUAAGACACCAAUCCAAGUUGGAAUGCUUCCACUCAAUUUAUUGAAACUGAAACUAAUGAAUUUGAGUCGGCCUAAUUUCCCCAAUUCAUUAGGUAGAUGGCCAUAAAAAUUGUUCAAAGUAACAUCAAGAGACAUUAGGAAUGAGAGAUUUCCCAGGUGUGGGGGAAUAGUGCCUCCGAGACCCAUGCCUGAAAGAUUUAAAGCCUUGACUCUUUGAUGGCGUGAAUCACAAGAAAUACCAACCCAGCUGCAUAUUGGAUGAGAUAUAGACCAAUUAUUUGCUAGGACACUCCGAUAAUCACCGACGUGGGCUUUGAAUGCAAGAAGAGCUGAUUGAUCUGUUAAAUUGUUUAAAGUCGUCGUAGCUAAGUUAGCUAUGGAAUAUUGUAACAACAUAGGAACAAAGAAGAACGAUAGGCGCAUAUUGGUCGUUUUUAAUAGAUACAGCAACAUAAUUGCUAGGUGAGAUUGAAACAAGUUUGAAGUGAAGGAAAUUAGCAUAUACUUAUACAAGAGACAUGAAUUUGAAAACAAGAAAAGAAAAAAUAUACAGGAGACUUGCAAACUGUUAUAUUUUGUCAUUAAGCGAGUCGUCCAAGUAAACGCACGUAUGGACUUGCAAAUUGUUAAACGUCGCUGUACUUGAACCGUAAACAAAGGGUGUGUUUGGUUGGAGGAUUAAAAGUGGGGAUUAGACACUUUUUUUUUUUUUUAAAUUUUAUCCUUAUCUCAUGUUUGGUGCUGUCAAGGGUAUUAGGAUUUAGUUAUCUUGAACUCACAAGCUAAUCUUAAUUUUGUAAAGGAAAUUAUCCCAAGAGGGGUCAUGGGAUUAGUUAGUAUUGGAUUAUAUUGAUAACUCAAUUAAACAUAAUAAUUUAUAAAUAUUAAAAUUAUAGUAAUAUGUGAUAAAUGUAAUAAAAAAAUAUUGAUUUUAAUAAUGUAAAUAAUAAAUUAUACUAAAAAUCAUUAUUAAUUUCACAUUAAAUUAAAAUUCUAUUUUACUUUAUUUAAUUAUUAAAUAUUUUUUAUAAUUCCAAAUUUACGUUAUAAAUUAAUUAUUAAAUUAGUAUUCAAAAAGAUAAAUUUUUAUAAAAUAAUAGAUUAUUGAAUAAAUAUCAUAUAAAUAUCAUAUACAUAUUUAACAAAAUAAUAAUUAUUUAAAUUAUGAUUUCUAUUUCUUUAACGUCAUUGAGGUUGAUUUGUAUAAUUAAUAAUACAAAAUUUUAGUUUAUAAUAAUAUUAAUAAUAAUAAUAACUUGUAAAUUGUAAUAUUAUAAUGUAAAACAUGAUUAUUUAUAGUCCAAUCUAAUAUUGUACCAAACACAAUAUAGUAUUAUAUAUAAUCCACUAUUAUUCAAUCCAAUUCAAUUUUAUCCAAUUUAAUCUAAUCUAAUUCAAUCAAAUCCGGCGGACCAAACCAGCCCAAAGGGUUUAUGGCCCUUUACUUACCAAACAGAAAAAGAUGCUCAACAUUGACAUCUUUGACCCAAUCCAAAUCUAAUCCAUACAUCUGCGGAUCAGAUGCAGAUUUAACCUAAUCCAUAUCCAAUCCACCAUUUUACGGAUUGGUUUGUAGACUGAAAAAUAUUAUAAGAAUAAUUUAUUAAUUGUUCAGACUUAAUUUAUAAUUCUAUAAGAUAAUGUGAACUUAUUAUAACUAUCUUAUCAAAAUGAGGUGGGAUUGCAAGAAUAAUGAGUAGAAAUAUCCCCAACCGAUAAAAUAAAAAGAAUUUUACAGCUAUACAAAUGCAAAUAUGUAGAACGUACCUUGUAGGUUGUUAUAAGCUAGAUUCAGAUACAAAAGAUUGCUAAAAUUUCCUAUCGCUGAAGGAAUAUUUCCAUCAAUGACGUUGUACGUUGCGUGUAACGCCUUCAGCCUCGAUUAAUUGAAGAGAGAAUUUGGGAUUGGACCCGUGAAACUGUUAUUACGAAGACUCAACACUUGUAAUUUGGAUAAGACGCCAAUCCAUGUUGCAAUGCUCCCACUCAAUUUAUUGAAAGUGAAACUAAUGAAUAUGAGUCGGCGUAAUUGCCCCAAUUCAUUAGGUAGAUUGCCAAGAAAAUUGUUCAGGCUAACAUCAAGAGAUUCAAAUGAAUUUUUGAUGGCGCGAACCGCAAGAAAUGCCAAUCCAGGUACACAUUGGAUAAGAUAUAGACCAAUUAUUUGUCAGGAUACUUCGAUAAUCAACGACACGGGCUUUGCAUGCAAGAAGAGCCGAUUGAUCGGUUGUUAAGAUGCAAUAGUGAGUAGUGAAAGUGGUUUGAGGUGGAGAUGCACCGGGAUCUACGGCCAUCCUGAGUUCAGCCAGAAGCAUAAUACUUGGACUCUCAUGAAAAGGUUAGCCAGCCUAUUUUCCUAUCCUUGGUGCUGUUUUGGUGAUUUUCAAUGAGAUAAUGCAUAUGCAUGAGAAAAACGGGGGCAAUGAGAGAAACCUGAAUAGGGUUGCCGAGUUUAGGGAAGCUGUGCAAAGCUGCAAUUUGCAGGAUAUGGGGUGUAAGGGAUAUCCCUAUACGUGGUCAAACAAAAGAUACAGAGAUCAUUUUAUUGAUGAGAGAUUGGACCGUUUUCUGUGUAGUAAAGAUUGGGGGAUUAAUUUUCAAGAAUCUGUAGGCACAAAUCUAGUGAACUGGUCUUCGGACCACUGCCCAAUCAUUCUAGAUUUCCAUGAGCGAAGCCAAAAUUCGAGACAUGCGGGCAAAUCUCUCCCCCGAGAUUAUUAUGAGGAUAUGUGGAGCUCCCACGAAGGCUGUAGGAGUAUAGUCCAGGAAGAGUGGAGCCGGUAUGGGGCUAGAGCUUGGGAAGCCCCUGUUCAGCAAUUUCAAUGAAUAGCCAAAUCUUCCUUGGCCCAGCUAAAACUUUAGAGCAAAACCGAAUUUCAUGGUAGGCAAAGAAAGUAAGAAAAGCUUAUGCAGAGCCUCCAGGAUGCUAUGAGAGGGAAUUCAAAGCUGGAUGAUGGCCAGGAAAUUAGGAGAUUGGAAAGUCAGAUUAACUCUAUGCUAGUUGAUGAGGAGAUUUACUAGAAACAGCGUUCGAGGGCCGACUGGCUUAGAGAAGGGGAUAAGAACACGAAGUAUUUUCACGCCAAAGCAUCUGCCCGCAAAAGGAAGAACAAGGUGUGGGGGAUUGAGAAUGACCAGGGCAUUUGGUUGAAGGAAAGGGAUGAAAUAGAGGAGGAGAUUUGCAGCCAUUUCCAAAAGCUUUUCACUACUUCCAGCCCGACUCCAAGCCAAAUCCAAGCAACCCUUCAAGGCAUGACAACAAAAGUAACUCCGGAGAUGAAUGUUCAGCUGGAGAAGCCGUUCACCGCUGAAGAUGUUGAGGAAGCCCUUGCCAACAUGUGUCCCACAAAGGCCCCAGGGCCUGAUGGUCUUCCAGCUGCCUUCUUCCAGAAGCAUUGGAAAUCUGUCCGUAACAGAGUGAUCUCAACGUGCCUUAAUGUCCUUAAUGAGCAAGGUAACCCAUCUACCCUCAAUCACACCUUUAUAGCUUUGAUUCCAAAAAUUGCAAAUCCUAGGAAAGUGAGUGAUUAUAGACCUAUCAGCCUCUGUAAUGUUAUUUAUAGAGUUGUAGCUAAGGCCAUUGCAAAUAGAAUGAAGCCGAUCUUUUCCCAAAUCAUCUCCCCUAUGCAAAGUGCAUUCAUCCCCAAUAGGCUCAUUACCGACAAUGUUAUUAUUGGUUAUGAAUGCCUUCAUAAAAUUAGGCAUAGCAAAGGGAAGAAGAACGGACUUGUAGCUUUAAAAUUGGAUAUAAGUAAGGCUUAUGAUAGAGUUGAGUGGCCUUUUUUGGAACAAACUAUGCUAAAGAUGGGGUUUCCUAGUAAUUGGGUAGCUCUGAUAAUGAGAUGUGUUAUUUCCACUUCAUUCUCGGUGCUAAUUAAUGGUGUGCCAAAAGGAAUGAUCCAGCCAAAAAGAGGCUUGCGACAGGGCUGCCCGCUAUCCCCGUACCUUUUUAUCCUUUGUGCAGAGGCUCUCUCCAAUUUGCUGGUUGUGGCAGAACAGAACCAGCUAAUCCAAGGGCUCAAAUUUGCGCGGGAAGUUUCAAUUACGCACUUGCUGUUUGCGGACGAUAGCUUGGUAUUCUCUCGUGCAUCAGUGGCUGAAUGCAGGCAUUUAAAAGAAAUGUUUGAUAAAUAUGCUGCAGCAUCAGGGCAGAUUUUUAAUUUUCAGAAAUCCUCACUGUUCUUCAGUGGAAAAAUUCCAGAGCAUCAACGGGCUGCUAUAAGGGGUAUCUUUAAUCUAAAUGUAGUCUCAAAGCAUGAGAAAUACCUUGGCCUACCAUCAAUGAUUGGGAGAAAGAAGAUGGGGUUCUGUAACGACAUCAAGCUGAAAGUGUUGAACAAGAUUGCAGGAUGGCAGCAUAAAAUGUUGUCUAGUGGGGGGAAGGAAGUUCUGAUCAAAGCGGCAGCCCAAGCAAUUCCGGCGUAUGCAAUGAGUGUUUUCAAGCUCCCAAGAGGCUUUUGUGAUGAUAUUCAGCGAGCUAUAGCGAAGUUCUGGUGGGGCUCGAAAGGGGAUAAGCACGGAAUCCAUUGGCGAAAAUGGGAGAAGCUCAGCCAGGCAAAGAUUAGAGGGGGGCGGGGAUUUCGAGAGUUUUCUUGCUUCAAUCAAGCGCUGGUAGCUAAGCAAGCUUGGAGGUUACUGCAGUACCCAAAUUCGCUGGUCUCCAAAGUCCUUCAAGCAAGAUAUUUCAGGAAUUCCAGCUUUUUAUGUGCAAAGGCAGGAGCCAAUGCCUCGUAUAUUUGGAGAAGCAUCAUGUGGGGUAGGCAGGUGAUUAAGAAGGGUAUGAGAUGGCAGAUAGGUAAUGGCAAGAAGGUAGCAAUUUUCUCGGAUAACUGGCUGCCAAGACCAGAGACCUUCAGACCUAUCUUCCCUCCAUCUUUGCCCGUAAGCUCAGUUGUUGCAGAUUUAAUUAAGGCUGAUAAUCAAUGGGAUGAAAUAAAGCUUCGACAGCACUUCAUGGAUGUAGACACAGCAGAGAUCCUCAAGAUUCCCCUCCCAACUGAGAAAGAAGAAGAUGGAGUGCUUUGGGAUUACGACAAAAGAGGGAACUACUCUGUCAAGAGUGGGUAUCAGCUAGCAUUGAGAUCAAAAUUUCCAGAUUCCACCAGCUGCACAGAGGCUUCCCACAAGUACUGGAGUGCCCUUUGGACACUGGAGUUGCCUGCGAAGCUUAAAAUUUUCAUGUGGAGGGCCUCUAAUAAUCUGCUUCCAUCGGUGGAAAAUCUGUGGAAAAGGAAGGUAGUGGAGGAGCCAACUUGUAAGCGAUGCAAACUGAGUGUUGAGACUAUCAGCCAUGCUCUCUUGGAGUGUAAGGUAGCGAGAAAAAUUUGGCUCCAAUCCCCCUUUUCAGGCCUUAGAUUAGAAGCCAAUUCUCAGGACAUUUUCAGCACUUUGCAAAAUAUGGCUAAGGAGAUGAGGAAAUCAGAUCUGGAAUUAAUGGUAGCUCUGUGUUGGUCUGCCUGGUAUGCUAGGAACAAAUGUAUCUUCGAUGGCAGGGAGAUUAAUCCUAUUAUAUCAGCUGCUAAAGCGGAGUCUGUUUUGUCAGCUUUUCAGAGAGUUAGGAAGCCCCAGCAAGCUCACAUCUCUAUCUUCAUAAAAGAGAAGCAGCAGGAGUGGCUCCCCCCUCCCCCGAAUGUUUUUAAAGUUAAUGUGGAUGCUGCUCUUAAUUCAAAGAAUCUGAGUGCAGGAGUGGGAACUGUGAUUAGAGACUCUAAUGGAAAGAUAGUUGCGGCUGGGGUAAAUCAGAACCUCCUAAAGGGGUCAGCUAGCUUGGCUGAAGCAGAGGCGGUGCUUUGGGGCCUUCAGCUGGCGAGAAAGGCGGAUGUAUCCUCUUUGAUUAUUGAGUCUGAUUGUUUAGAGGUGGUCCAGCUAGUGAACAACACCAAGGGCAGCAGAUCAGAAAUUUUUUGGACAAUUCUGGCAAUCCAAAACCAGAUGAAGAACUUCCAGAAAGUGGUUGUCAAUCACAUUCCAAGACAUUGUAAUGCUUGUGCCCAUUACCUAGCUAAGAUAGCUUUGGGGAAAAUCUCUCCCUGUAUGUGGCUGGGAAAUAUUCCAGCUGAAUUGUAUGGUAUUAUCAAGGUGUUGUGAUUAAUGAAAGGUUUACUUUCUUUUCAAAAAAAAGAAGAAUGAUAAGCGCAUAUUGGUCUUUUUUUUUAGAUGCGUCCAUCUAAUUGCUAAGUGAAGUUGAUACAAGUUUUAAGUGAAGGAAAUUAGCAUAUGCAUAUACAAGAGGCGUAUGAAUUUUGAUAACAAGAAAAGAAAACAAUAUACAGGAGAGUGGAGGCUUGCAAAUUGUUAUAUUUCAUUAUUUAGCGAGUCGUCCGAGUAAACGCGUAUAGACUUUUAAAUUGUUAUACGCCGCCGUACUUGAACCGUGAAUAAAGGGCUUAUGGCACUUGAGUUACCAAAAAGAAGAAGAUGCUCAACAUUGGCAAGGCCUAUGCAUUCUGUCCAUUUGUUCACGUUUUGCCGAGGCUCAUGGCAACCACAAUAUGUUCUUUUUCUUUCCUCUAAAAAACAAAAAGACGACCUUCACAUUUGGGCUAAUAAUUAUCACUAAACAAUUAAUAAUGCUGAGGGCUAGUGGUAAUGUAGCUUUAAAAUAAUUGUUAUUAGUUGCGCCUUAAAAAUAAAGAAAUAAAGAUAGUUAUACUAUACCCCCACAAUUUAAUAAAAUAAUCAUGUAAAUUUCUAAACUUUUAACAAUAUACACCAAGACCCCUUAUGUUACUUUUUACCAUUUAUUUGGAUGUCACAUGCUUUUUUUUUUUUUUUUUUAAAUUUUUCACUGCAGAAAUUAAAUGCUAAAUUUACUGUUAUUCCCAUAUCAUGUCAUCGCUUGCUUCUACACAUAUUGAUUGUUUUUCCAAAGUUUAAAAUUGAAUUAAAAACAUUCUAAUUAACCUAAAAAUUAAAAAAAAAACUCAUCCAACCAGAUAUAAAUCUUCUAAUUAACCUAAAGAUAAGCUACACCCCCAUAUUAAUUCCAAUUAAAUAAAUCUUCAUUUUUGUCAUGGUUUUGGAUCUCGAGCAGGGUGGAUACAUCCAACCAGAUCCGCCCCAUUGGCAUUCCAAUAUAUUAUGGAAUUGGAAGAGUAUCAAUGACUUAAUUUGUAAUUUUAAAUUUGUAACGUAUAAUUCUAAUUUAAGGAUUCAAAUUAAUUUAUGCGGAUCUAAAAGGGGACUGAUGAUGGGCAUGCAUACAUACAUGCAUACAUAUAUUUACAUAGAGAGAGAGAGAGUGAGGUAAUAUAACAUUCUUCUUGAUGAAGAUUUUUGUGCCAUACGCAUUAAAGAGAGUAUUGUGUCGAUGUUGGAGGCUAGAGGGACAAGUGGUUACAUUGCUUCAGAGGUGUUUAGUAGAAACUUUGGUGAGGCAUCACAUAAUUUAAACUACUAGAUUUAGCGAGAUAUAUAUAUUUUCCACAUUGGAUUUACAAGCAUUUGGAGCAGGAUAAUGAAUUUAAAUUACUCGGAAUUGUAAACAGCGGAAAGUGAAAUUGCUAAGAAGAUGAAUAUUGUUGUUUUGUGGUGUAUACGGACUCGUCCAUCGGAUAGGUCGCCCAUGAACAGAGUGAUAGAAAUGUUAUUGCAAAGAAGCAGACUGACUAGCAGUGACGCUUUGAAUAAAUCCACCAAACAUCUUCUCCUACAAGACCACCAAUAUAUUCUUCCACCAUUCAACGUCGUGAUGUGGGGAUCAGAAUUGAAUUAUAGGAUGCUUGUAAGUUUCCUUUGUGGAACUUGUGAAUUUGUGAUGGCAAAAGUCAAUGAUGCAUGUAACUAGCCGGCCCGUGUAGAGGCCGUUUGACUCAUAAAUAUUUGUCACUUUCACUCUUUUUCAAAACCCAAAAGCACGCUAAAGCUUAAUCUAAAAAGAAUUUUUGAUUUAGUGCUGACAUUUUGGGCUCACCUUUGAGUAAUGUUUUACCACGCAUGCAUUUAUGUCAUUGUGCGGUCAUCCUUUACUUCUAAAGAUCGUAAUCUUUAAGAAAAAAUUACUUCUUUUGAAAGUGAAAGCAGGCCAGCUAUUGGCGUAUUGCAUUGAAGCUGCUAUGUGUAGUAGUCAAUUCUUGGAAAGAACUAGUUUUCUUAAAUUGUAAAUGGUCCCCUUUAUGACUGGGAGAUUUUGAACAAAAUUAAUAUGAUGAAUUCUUAGCAAGUGUUGUUCCUUGAAGUCUCAUCUUUCACAAUGUUUUUGAAAUAAAGAUAUUACCAUCUCUGACUAAAGAUUUACUCUUGAUUUGGACCACCUAAUCUGAACUUGAUGGAUGAUUAUGAUCUUGCCUAAUUUUAUGGAUGUGGUCUUAUCUCACGUAAGUCAGUAAUGAAUUAAUUAAAGUUUACUGUCAAAUUAUGAACUGAAAAACUGCUGCUACUUCAUUAUUCACAAUGCCCAAAUUCAGUGCAGAACUGAUUAUAAGUUUUCCGAAAGUUUUACGCUUUCUUUCCCCCAAAUCCCAAGUACUUCCUGUAAUAUCAUUCCCCUAUAGAUGUCUUCCCCUGAGACAUUUUUAACUUUGGUUCAGGGUAACAAAGCUAUAGCUUUUCCUGUCGUGUGCAACAAGCUAUUAAAUUAGAGUAUUUAUUUCUGUAUUACUACUAGUAGUAAGAGAGGCGAAAUGGAAUCUUGAAUUCAUGUUUAUACAACAGUUUGUUUAUAAAUAAAUGAGUUGAUAACAAGUCAUUUUAAAUAUUUGCAAAAAAAAAAACGGUGAGUGAUGUCUAGUUCUAUUUUCAAUGUUCAGAGUCGAAUUUUGAUUACUGAAAAUUUUAAUUUAUGAAGUUGAACUAAGAAUUUGUUAUAAUAUAUUCCACCUUCCUAUACAGUCAUCUGGAAUAAUAAUAUAUCAAAAACAGUAAUAACUUGAUUUACAGGGUGAGAAAGAAAAGAAAGACGCUACGAGGGAAGCAGAGAUUCAAAGACUUCGCUACUUUGUUGGAGGAACAAUUUCAUAAAUCUCCAGAAUAUUGACAUAAAACACAGAACAUAUCUAGCAUUAAGUAUAUUUAUGUAUGUCCAAAGAUAAAAAUUCGAAGAUUAGAUUUAUCAUUUCAAUUUAUGUUCCGCCCAAAGCAAUGGCUUUUAUUCCACAAGCACAAACAAGAAAGAGUACACAAAGUUAACAAACACACAUGUUGAUGCGAGAUUCUGGUUGUCCUCGUUCUACGACCAGGGUCUCUGCUCGAUCAACUUCACCACGACCAGGAUCUCUCCUCGUAAAGCUUCUUCUCCAGAGGUUCCUGCGCACACAGACAGGUCAGAGUACGCCGGUUUUUUUCCCGGCGCAAACCCUCCAACGCUCAAGUCAGAAAUAGGGGUUCUGGGAAUGUUUGCCACGAAUCUUAUGGCUUCUUUUUAAUCUCAGUUCUCGGAACUUUCUUUUCUUAGUUCUAAUAGCAAAAAGUCUAACCCUUUUACCUUUGCUGGCUACUUUUUUAUAGGCUUCCUCUGAAUCCCGGUCUUCCGUAGUCCACGCCCAUUACUCUUCCCACCCUCGGAUGUGGAUGCCCCAUUGUCGUCAUUGUGGGCGAAUGGAGAUGGACUUCGUGCCUUGAUUCUCGGAUAGGAACGCACGUCUUGCCAACUGUCGUUGACCGGGUCUCCUCGCCUCGACCCCUAGCAGGAAUGGCCUUAUGCCUCUAACAGGAGUUCGUCCUCGUGAAUGGCAUAUUUGUGGACGAGCAGAAUAUUCCUGCUCCUGUUCCCUUGCUACCAGGCUCUUACAGGACAUACCUGUUCGCAGAACUCUGCCACCAAAUAUAUGCUCAUCAUGUCUGGUCUCGUCGAAGUAUUUCCCUCAAACACCGGUCCCCCAGUUUCUGGUGUUGGGUAAUGUAAUGGACCAGCAGUAGAAACUCAACAGUUCUUGCUCGCGUGAGACUUGAAAAGGCUGCCAAGAGUCGUGUCGCAUUUAAUUGCGGAUGCAGUGAUGUGGCAGAAAUCUACCCCUUCGUUUGAAUUUCAAACCUACGGUUGCAAGAUUCUCAGAAUCUGCGUCAUUAAAUGCUGGCAGCCCAAAAGUUUGCUUCUCAGUAAGAAAACCCAAAAUCCUCAAACACGAACUCGUCAUUUUCUCCAUUCCUGUCUCUCCGGCUAAUGAACCUCGGCAUUAAAGCUUUCAUCCCUGUCUCUCUCUGAGCGAGUCCCUGCUUCAGGUAUUUCUUCUAUCUUCACGGUCUCGGUUAGUUGUAGAUAAUUUCUUUUCUCUUUGCUUUGCUUGGGGUAGUAUCUGGUAGUGGUGUUUUGGUUAUAACCUAGGGAAUGUCGAAGGGUAAGGAGAAAGUCGUUGAUAUUGAUGACGACGAACUAGGUUUCUUGCCUAGUCUGCUCACUGAUUCUGCUUUUGGCCCCGGGAUCCCCUUAGAGCCCACUAGGUCUAGUGUUGGGACUAGCGCUAGGAGGAUGUCCCCCCAAACAACCUCCACGAGCGGAAGUAGUGGCGAGGAGGGACCUUCUGGCUCGGAAGACACCCUAAGUGAGGAUCAAUGAGGUGACUCUGGUGAGGGAUCUUCACCGGGAACACUGCGACCAGAAGGGUGUAGUACAGUAGGAGGUAGAGCCUUGUCGCGGGAUUAUGCUAUUGAUUACAUGACCUGCACGACCACAUUCAACGAGCUGGAUGACCUCCGGCUCAGGUAUCAUAUUCCUGGUGAGGUACUCCUUAGGAUCCCAGGAAAGAAAGAUAGUCUUAGCAGGCCUCCUAGGGGAUUUGUCACCUUGUUCUUGGAGAGUUUUAAGUACGGGCUAAGGUGCCCCUUGCAACUCUAUUUUGCUCGCAUACUCCACGGGCUCAAUCUAGCUCCUGGUCAGUUGAACCCCAAUGGGUGGAGGGUGCUCUUUGGUCUGUUCAUAUUGUGGGACAGAUGUUGCCAAAGCGAGCCCACGGUUGAUGAGGUGAAGCACCUGUACCAGCUAAGGAGUAGCCCCAAAGAUGCCGGCUGGUACUACUUCCAAUCUAGUACCAAGAGUAGGAAACCCAUAACUGAUCUUCCAACUGGUGGUGGUGGGACUUGGAAGAGGAAAUUCUUUUUUGCUGGGGGUCCUUGAGGUCAAGUUGCACAAAUAGACGGGAAGGAUUGUCGCGUCCCACCCCGUUUCACGGUCCCAGGUUGCCUGCUCACUUUAGAUGUCUUGUAUCCAUAAUUGUUCUUACUUUAUUGGUUUGUCUCUAACCAAGUGUCUGUUUGUGUUGUAGUUUCUUGGGGUGUUCAUUUUCCGCUCAAACCUGAUCAGCUCAAACGGGUCGAGGCUGUACUAGCCAACUCCUGCCCGAGCCGAGAACUGAUAACUAUUUAUAACUUCCUCGAGUCUCGCUUGGUACUCCCUGGCCAUAAGAUGGAGGACGCUGUGAUUGGGGCUCUGAACAGGAAACGUUCUCGACCUCAAAACACGAAGAGGGACCAGAACAAGGACGCCCCUAGGGCAAAGCGGACCAACAUCGUGCAGCAAGUCUCUCCCUUGAAGACUUUACCUCCUGCUCCUGCCAAAGUCAGCGAAACUAGUGGAGCAGCCACAGAUCCUGCUUCCUCUUCUCCUCCUGUCGGGCCUCGAUCUCGCUUUCCUGACAGCCGAGCAGAACACUUGGUCCCCUAUCUCAAUGAGUUAUCUAAACUCGUGAGCAAGAAGGACCUGGAGGACUUUAAUGGCUGCACCCUGGGCGAGCUGGUAGGAGCCAUGCAGUAUAGUGCUUUCCAUCUCAGCUGCAUGACCACCUAUUAUAAGGCUAAGGUUGGCCGUUAUGACAGGAAGAUGAAGGAGGACAUUCAAUCAGCGAUGACCAGAGCUGACGCCGCCGAGAAGAAAGCAGGAGAGCUAAAUGUCGAGAACCUGAAGCUGAUAGAGCAAGAAUCUCUUGCUCAAGCAAAAGCCAUUACCCUCGAGGAGGAGCUGACCAAGGUCAAGGAGGAUCUUCAAAGGCAGAAGGCAAUGUAUGAGGCUCAGCUCGAAUCUCUCCGCGAUUCCCAUCGAGCUCAGGUCGAGAACUUGGAGAAGGAGGCCGACAACCAGUACGACCAGGGACUUCGGCAUUCCUAUCGUUGCAUCAUGGCCGUCCUCGGGAAGCAGCAUCCUGAUCUAAAGAUGGACGACCUUGCAGCUGGUGUCGCCCAACAUAUGGACGAGGAGGCUGCAAAGGAGGAUGCCGAAGGGGUAGACGCAAUCGUGAUUGAGGAGGAAAACUCUCCUCCUCAUGUAGACCCUGCUGACGUUGGCGAGGCGAGCACCCCCCCGGACGCAACUGGUGAUACCCCCCCUGCACCUGAGGAGGUCCAGCCAACCGAUGCUGCUCGGCAUACUGAUCCGCCAUCUUCUUGAACUUAUCUUGUGCUGUAAUUGCUUUUUGAAUAUUCUAUAUAACAGCUUUGUAAACUUUUAAGAGCUUAAUAAGAUUGUUCUUAUUUGCUUCCUCGCAUUGGUAUUUUAAUUUAUUUAUCUAUUUGGCUUCUGUCCUCGUCACAGAGGAGGCCUUGAAGUUUGACGAGCCUUUGCCUGUCUUGGAUAAUUUCUUCAAUGAUUGGGAUUCUGCUCGCCUUCGCGUGGUCGAGCAGAUCCUGGCACGCUUGGCUUUUGGUCUCGCCAUAAACAGGCUUUGAGACUCGACGAGCCUUUGCAUGCCUUAGUUUCUUCAAGGAUUGGGAUUCUGCUCGCCUUCGUGUGGUCGAGCAGAUCCUGGCACGCUUGGCUUCUGGUCUCGCCAUAAACAGGCUUUGAGACUUGACGAGCCUUUGCAUGCCUUAGUUUCUUCAAGGAUUGGGAUUCUGCUCGCCUUCGCGUGGUCGAACAGAUCCUGGCACGCUUGGCUUCUGGUCUCGCCAUAAACAGGCUUUGAGACUCGACGAGCCUUUGCAUGCCUUAGUUUCUUCAAGGAUUGGGAUUCUGCUCGCCUUCGCGUGGUCGAGCAGAUCCUGGCACGCUUGGCUUCUGGUCUCGCCAUAAACAGGCUUUGAGACUUGACGAGCCUUUGCAUGCCUUAGUUUCUUCAAGGAUUGGGAUUCUGCUCGCCUUCGCGUGGUCGAGCAGAUCCUGGCACGCUUGGCUUCUGGUCUCGCCAUAAACAGGCUUUGAGACUUGACGAGCGUUUACAUGCCUUCAAUUCUUCAAGGAUUGGGAUUCUGCUCGCCUUCGCAUGGUCGAGCAGAUCUUGGCACGCUUGGCUUCUGGUCUCGCCAUAAACAGGCUUUGAGACUUGACGAGCCUUUGCAUGCCUUCAAUUCUUCAAGGAUUGGGAUUCUGCUCACCUUCGCGUGGUCGAGCAGAUCCUGGCACGCUUGGCUUCUGGUCUCGCCAUAAACAGGCUUUGAGACUUGACGAGCCUUUGCAUGCCUUCAAUUCUUCAAGGAUUGGGAUUCUGCUCGCCUUCGCGUGGUCGAGCAGAUCCUGGCACGCUUGGCUUCUGGUCCCGCCAUAAACAAGCUUUGAGACUUGGUGAGCCUUUGCAUGCCUUUGAUAAUUUCUGGAAAGCUUAGGAUUCUGCUCACCUUCUCGUGGUCGAGCAGAUCCUGGCACGCUUGGCUUCUGGUCUCGCCAUAAACAGGCUUUGAGACUUGGUAAGCCUUUGCAUGCCUUUGAUAAUUUCUUGAACAGUGUAGUUGAUUCAAACUCCUCAUUGAUUCAUUUAUUAUUGAAUUCGGCUUACAUGAGGUUGCUUUGAAAUAAGAAAUAAAAAAAUAGAAAACAACAGACAUGAACAGAAAAAAAACUUUAAAACAUGAGUAAGUCUUACUAGAAAUAUUUCCUGAGGUGUGCCGCGCUCUAGGGGCGUUUCACCUCGUGGCCCUCCGUGCGAACCAACUUGUAAACUCUGGGUCCAACUAGCUGCCAUUCCUGGCUUCCACUCGGGUAUCAAAGGAUGUUAUCUGCAUUGCUUCCUUUGUUGCCGAGGAGUAACAGCUUCGUGCGAUUCUCUGGUCUCCUCGUACCACUCCAACUACCCCAUUCACCCGGUACUUGAGAGCCAGAUAAUGGUUGGACAGCACCGCUUUGCUCAUCCUCAGAAAUGGCCGGCCUAGGAUCAUCUGAUAAGGACCUUCCUCAUCCACUACCACAAAGUCCAGUAUCAUUGUCCUUUCUGUCGGGGAGCUCCCAAUCGUGAUAAGUAGCUCGACCACGCCCAGAGGGACCAACUUUCCUCCUCCAAACCCCUUCAAGGAGGUAUUGGUGUAAUCCAACUUCAGGUCUGCUAUUCCCAUUUCCUCCAGGGUUGACUUAAACAACACAUCAACUGAGCUCCCUGUGUCAACCAGUAUCCUGUCAAACUUCUUGCUGGCAACAGUGGCCUUGAUGACCAAAGCAUCCUCGUGGGGGUAUAGAAUCCCUUCUUCAUCCUCAUCUGUCCACAUGAUUGGCACUUGCCUGACUCUUGCACAUUUGGCUGCUGGGGUGUUGAAGAAUACAUCUUUGCUGGUCAUGGCGUAUCUAGCGUAAUUCUUCCUCGACCUGUUGGAAUCUCCGGCCAAUGUUGGGCCCCCAGCUAUCACCCUUAGUGCAGGAUGCUCGCGCCUCAGGUUUCUAUCACUCUGCUCCCCUUCAUAUGUCGAGGCCACCAUCGGGAAAGUCCCAUCUACAAACUCGUCCAGGUACCGAUUUCUCACCAAAUCUUCAACCUGGGUCUUGAGAUCUCUGCAUUCUGCGGUGGUAUGGCCAUGAGUGCCAUGGAACUUACAAUGGCGUCCCCUAUCCCUCCUGCCGGGUAGCUUUGUUAUUGGGGCAGGGAGGUACAGCAGUCCUCGGUCCUUUAUGGCCUCGUAUACUUCAUCUAGGGACAUCUUCAAGGACGUGUAUCGCCCAUACUCCUGGUUCUGGUCGAUCAGGUGCACGGCCCUUUCUCUAUUUGCUCCGUUCUGAGUUGGAGGCGAUGACAGCAUUUCUGGUCUGCUCCCUCUACUACCGUGGGAGUGUUGAUGAAGACCACCAUAUGUCGAAUCAUGCCUUCUCCAAGGCUCCCUAGCUGGGGAACGAGGAGGGUGCGCCCUGCUGCGCUGAUACUGUGGUGGCCUCUGAUGAGGCUGGUGAGCUGUUACCCGACCUCCUGCUCCACUACCUGAGGCCUGGAGGUCCCUCCUCCUGAUCGGCCAAUUUCCCAGUAAUGCCCUCUUUUCUUUCUUUUCCAACCCCUCCAGCUGGUCUGUCUUAAUCCGAGCUGCCUUUUCUUCCUCGAUCUCUAUGUCUCUUUUAGCUUGCUCGUAUGCGGCUGCAUACGUCUGAAUAGCUGGGCUUCUCAAGUUGUACCACAGCCUUCCUAUCUUCACUCCCUCUUUCAAUCCCCUUAGUGCCUGAGGAUGGUCGAAGGCUCCCAAAUCGAGGACAGCACGAUGAAACCUCUUGAUGAAUUCCCGAAGAGUUUCUUGUUCCCCUUGCUUCAUGCUUUUCAACUCCAUCAUGUCAUCUUCUAGUGCCAUUGCCCCACGAAACUGCUCUGCAAACUCCUGGCACAUCUGCUCGAAGGUUUUAAUGCUCCUCCCCCGAGGAAGUUUUCUGUACCACUCUCGUGCACGUCCCUCAAGGGAUAGUGGGAACACCCUGCCUGCACCUUUGGGAUUGAGAUAAUCCUUGUACCCCAAUUAUGUCGUUGAAGCGCUCUAUGUGCACCAGCGGAUCUGUUCGUCCCGAAUAUCUAAGGUCUGGGAGGCGGAAAUCUCUCGGAAUAACUGCCCUCAUGAUCUCUGCUGCGAGCGGUGAUUCUCCAUCUAGCAUUAUCCUCCAACCAGGAGCUCUGCUCCUUCCUUGCAUGUCGUCAAUUAUCUGCGCUAGUCUGCGCACUUCCUCCUCCAGCUGCACUGCACGACCAGGGUCACGUGCUGCAACUUGAUCCCGCUCUUGCUCUACAUCAAGCAAGUGUUGCCUCAACUCUGUUUCCUCUGCAUUUGCCACCCCGUCGUCCUCGUCAAAAAUCUGUCUUGCCGGGAAUUGCUCUUCCUCUCUACGGAAUUCUCCCCGCAGAGGUAUGUUACCUCUCUCACCACCAAAUCUCCCGGUGGUUUGACUUCUCCUCGUACUAUCGGGACCUAGUGCCACUCCACCAACUCUCAUCCUUUCCUCCUGGGUUACCCUUCGUUCACUCCGCAACUCAUGCAGGAUGGUUGUCAGGGUCUCCAUCUGCUUUUCCAUUCGUUCCAUUCGGUCGAACAUGGCUUUUUCCCGUGCUUCACUGGCUAUCUCCCUCAGAGUCACGGAAUCGUUAAGCCUCAUAUCACCCCCUUGUGCACUACUUCCUCCUGUCUCCAUUGCUUUUCACUUGCUUCACUCCUCUUCUUGCUAUCAACAGAAGCUUUUUGAUCAGCUCCCCACAGACGGCGCCAAAAUAUUGAUGCGAGAUUCUGGUUGUCCUCGUUCUACGACCAGGGUCUCUGCUCGAUCAACUUCACCACGACCAGGAUCUCUCCUCGUAAAGCUUCUUCUCCAGAGGUUCCUGCGCACACAGACAGGUCAGAGUACGCCGGUUGUUUUCCCGGCGCAAACCCUCCGACGCUCAAGUCAGAAAUAGGGGUUCUGGGAAUGUUUGCCACUAAUCUUAUGGCUUCUUUUUAAUCUCAGUUCUCGGAACUUUCUUUUCUUAGUUCUAAUAGCAAAAAGUCUAACCCUUUUACCUUCGCUGGCUACCUUUUUAUAGGCUUCCUUUGAAUCCCGGUCUUCCGUAGUCCACGCCCAUUAGUCUUCCCACCCUCGGAUGUGGAUGCCCCAUUGUCGUCAUUGUGGGCGAAUGGAGAUGGACUUCGUGCCUUGAUUCUCGGAUAGGAACGCACGUCUUGCCAACUGUCGUUGACCGGGUCUCCUCGCCUCGACCCCUAGCAGGAAUGGCCUUAUGCCUCUAACAGGAGUUCGUCCUCGUGAAUGGCAUAUUUGUGGACGAGCAGAAUAUUCCUGCUCCUGUUCCCUUGCUACCAGGCUCUUACAGGACAUACCUGUUCGCAGAACUCUGCCACCAAAUAUAUGCUCAUCAUGUCUGGUCUCGUCGAAGUAUUUCCCUCAAACAACACAUAGCAAACAUGACAUUAACUACUUGCAGCAGCAUCAUCCAGAAACUUCACUAUAAUCUUCUUGAGCUUUUCAGCGGCAUCUUUCGUAGAUGCCCUUUGUUUUGGUGACUCCAUGCAAAAAUCCAAUGCCGAAUGCAUGAUGCUUAAUAAACAAUUCAUUUUAUUAGUACAUUGGAUAUAAUCGAAGGCAGAGUAUAUUUCAGGACAAGUAGAGUAGCAUUCUUGGAUCCUUUGCUAUUAUCUUCUUUGCAAGGUGGGACUUGAGGUCCUGGUGGACAACAUACUGCAUAAUUCUAAAAAAAUUAUUGAGCUGAAAUGUUUUUAAAAGGUCUUUUGAUAGAAACUCCCCCUUCUAGCCUAUUGUGAGACACAUUAAGUUGUUUGAGAUAUAAGAGUGCCUCUAUUGACUUUGGAAUUUCUCCAGAGAAAUUGUUGCUUGGGAGAUCCAAAGAUUCCAACCUUAUCAAACUACCAAAUGAUUUGGGGAUUAGACCAUAAAAUUGGUUUCUAGCCAAGCUAGAUCUUUGGGGCCACCAAUAUUUACUGGCAUAUCACCUGAUAAUUGAUUUCUUGAUAAAUCUAACUCUAUUAAGACCCUUAAGUUUUGUAUAUCACUUGAUAAUUGUUUGUAUUGGGCCUUCUAUUUUCAUUAUAGAAUAAAUUAACUAUUAAUUUUCAUGAGAAAAAUACUUAUUUCCAUAAAAUUAUUCAAGCUUUUAAAAAGAUUUAGAAUUAAAAAUCAAACUUUGUACUGUAGAAAAUUUGCCGGUACGUUCAAUUAGUACUUUGUUUGAGGAAAUAAGAUUAGAAUAGGCUAUAGGUACGGUAGUUAUGCGGUACCUGUUUAAUAACCGUAGUAUAGUAAAUGUUUGACUUUUUUAUUAGAAAUAUAUCAUUAACAAUUUUGUUCGCUAAUUGAAUAGAGAAAGAAAGGGGGGGUGGGGGGGGGGGGAGGGCAAAAAGGUUAACACAUUUCGAAACUACAAACGAUUGCCUUUUCCUAUUAAUAAUGUUUGCGGAUUCUAACAAUUGAAUCUCAAGGUCAUUACAUAGUGAAUUUUAUAGUUAAUAAAAUUAAUAUUCCACAUACUAUCUACUCAAUUAAUGUCACAUUUUUUGAAACUUGAAUGAUCUAUUUGCUACAAUUAGGAGCCAACGUCGUAAUGAAUGUUAAAUUAUGCUGUUUGUUUUGAUUUACUUUUCUAUCUUAGCUCCAAGUGAUUAGCGGAAUGCUGGUCUUGUGAGUAUAAAAUGAACUCCUUAAGUCAAAUUCCUUCUGGGGUGUUGGAGAAAGAACUAAAUACAUGUAAUCUUGCUUUCGGAUAUGGAUUAUCUGAUGGAUGUUGUAUUUUCUAGGUAUUGAGGAGAUUCCUCAUUAUUGAAAAAUUACGUUCCCGAGCAUCAAAAGAUGAUCCCAUAGAAUUGCGUUCUCCUGUGACAAAAGAGGAGCUUGUAGCUGAGGUAUCGAUUUUUAUCUUUCUUGAUUGUUCUUUAUAGUUGUUUCUCAUCAAAAUAGAAAAAGCAGUUUGUUCUGAGUGACCUGUGCGGUCUACUAUCAAUCACUGCCAUUUCUAUCAUUUAGUACUAUUGACUGUGUGUAUAGAUAUUUUGUUUUUGCCAUGUAAUUUCAUGUUUGAUACAUUUCUAAUACAUUGCAUAGCGUUCAUGAACGAGAAUGAUAAACUAACUUUCAGGUGUGUUUAAGUAGAUGAAAAAACUUGGUACAAUUUAGAAGGAUUCACUAAUUUUCCAAUUUGUUUGUAUGGAGAAAUUGAAUAGUUAAUUGAUUAGAGGAUUGCAAAGUGGGUAGGUCCAGCUGGGCAUUGUCAAUAUUAACGAUCGAUGUUUUGAGAAGGUCUGGAGCUGACAUCACGGUUGCGUCUGUGGAGAAACAACUUCGUGUCGACGCGUGUCACGGUGUCAAGAUUGUCGCUGAUGCUCUCGUGUCUGACUGCCGCGACGCCGUUUUUGAUCUUAUAGCUCUUCCCGUAUGUAUUGCAGCUCACCUCAGCUCAUGCCAAUUUAUGUGAUGUUUGUAUAAUUAUAGAUGAUUAUUGCUGAUACUGAAUGUUAAGCUAAAUAAUUCGUUCUUAAGUCAUCUUCAUUUAAUUUUCGAUUGAAAAUGAAAAAAAUAAUAAUUGUAAGCAAAGAAAAAUAUCGAAAAUGUUUAUUUUGUUUUAAUUUUAUUUUUUAAUUUUUUGGGAUUUCCUUAUUGUGGCUGUUAUUAUUCAUUAUAUGGUCCUAGUUAAAUAUUUCAAGUUGUUGUAGUUAGUGAAUUUCUUUUCGAUAUUUAUUCUGGCAUGUAUAUUUUUUCUUUUCAAUUUCUUUUGUUGCUGAUUCUUUGAUUAUGUUAUAUCCUUUUUUGUUUCCCUUGUAGGGUGGCGUGCCUGGUGCUACCAAUCUGAAAGAAUCUGAAGUAUUAGAAAGCAUUGUGAAGAAGCAGGCUUCAGAUGGGCGUCUUAAUGCUGUUAUCUGUGCUUCACCUGCUGAGGCAUUAGGGUCUAGGGGUCUGUUGAAGGGAUUGAAGGUAAGAAUUAGAUAAACCUUUUUGAUGUUCUGUGGUCUUUUGGGAAUUGCACUGAUAUUUUUGUUAUAGUUCAGUUUUCUUCUCGCUGAUGAUUGUUAAGUUCUAAUUUAUGUAGUUGUUCAUUUUUCGUAGGCUACUUGUUAUCCGUCAUUUAUGGAGCAAUUAGCUCCUGCUUGUGCAACAACUGUUGAAUCAAGAGUACCACAGGAUGGUAAAGUUGUUACGAGUCGUGGACCCUGCACUACUAUGGAGUUUGCUGUUGCACUUGUUGAGCAGUUGUAUGGGAAAGAGAGAGCUGAUGAGGUUUCUGGGCCACUGGUAGUAACUUUUAUAGAUAAUGUUGUUUAAAAAAAUUGUGAGUUAUAUAAUUUGUUGAAAUUCAUUCUAAUAGGUUCAUCUGGUAUGUCAAAUUGGAAGGUUCAGAUGCUAAUGUAGUCCAAAAAAUUAGUUCAGGGGAAAAGUAUGACUUUUUGCAUUAGAGAUUUAUUAGAUGAAGUUGUAUACCUACUGGCCCAUCUUAAUAUGGUGAAAACGAUGUAAAAUCGGGAGAGGGGGUUCGGGGGAGAGGGGAAGCCCUCUCCAACCGCAAGGCCGUUAUUCUGACAUGAAUAGAGUAAGGCCUUUACUUUUAUAAAGAAAGGUCCCUGUUUUGCACGUCUCCACUGAUCACAUUCUUUUUAAUGUAAGUUCUUUCUCUUGGUAUUUGUCUUUGAUUUUUCUCUUCCUCAUGCUGUCGUCUGUCAAAAGAUUUGGCUGCAGCAUCUAGAAGUUUUGAAGAAGCAAAAUGGGUCACACGGCUUUGAAGUUCUAGAUGCCGUAAUGUUUGGUAAAAGUAAAAAAAAAUUCAAAGCUCAAAAAUUCAAAGUUCGAAAAACUGAAAUUUUUGAGCUGUAUGGCUUGUAAUUUUAUAGCCACUUUUUUGACUUUUAAGGAAAAGUUUUACCUAUAAAUACAAGCUCUCAAUUUAGAGCUUGCAUCCAAUUUUGUAAAGAGAGUCGAGAGCUGUGAAAAGCAAUUCUUGCAGAGCAGAGAGUUUGUAGAGCUUAAAUAAUAAAAGCUGUUGUUUUAAUGAUUUGAGAGUUUGGAUGUAUUGGGGUUUUGGGAAGUGAGCUAAAAUACUACAAUACUUGUAACUCCUUUUCACUAGUAAAAUAUUUUUCUUCUAUCUUCACCCAUGGACGUAGGUUAAAAGCCGAACCACGUAAUUUCCUGGUGUCCUCUUUGUGCUUCUUCUUGAUUUUUUUUUCCCAAUUUUACUUUAGUUGCGGCCCUGCUUCACCCGCCAAUUUCCUAACAGCGGUAUCAGAGCUAUUAGUUGUAUUAUUUGGAGUCGGGUACUAUUCACAUACGGUACUGUUCACAUAUACGGUACUAUUCAUGUAUACGUUACUAUUCACGUGAAACGGUGGGAGCAAUUCUAGUAUUGGCGAUGCAAAGCAGGGGAAUAGUGUGUGUGAGUGGAGUAAUUGUGUGGUUUUGGACAUGUGUAAGAAAGUUCUGUCACAAAGGCGAUAAGAGCCUAAGGAGUUAGGAUUUUAAGUGGGACUAUUGUGACCCCUCCAGUCUUUCCUGGGAACUUUCUUGGUGUGCUCUCACACAUACUCACAACUAUUCAAGCUGGUACACUAGUUUUGUACAAUAUUUAUCAACAAAAUGGUGGCAAAGUAUGAAAUUGAGAAGUUUAACGGAAAUAAUUUUUCGUUGUGGAAAAUGAAGAUGAAAGUUGUAUUGAAGAAAAAUAAUUGAUUGGCAGCAAUUAGAGAAAGGCCCAUGGAGAUAACUGAUGACAAGUGGAACAAGAUAUAUGGCAACGCCAUUUUUGAUCUACACUUGGCACUUACGGAUGAAGUAUUAUUCAGUGUGGCAGAGAAAACUACAGCGAAGGAAAUAUGGGAUACUCUCACAAAAUUGUACGAGACCAGGUCACUACACAACAAAAUCUUCUUAAAGAGGAAGCUCUAUACUCUUCGAAUGACGGAAUCUACAAUGGUGACCGACCACAUCAAUACCUUGAAGACUCUAUUUUCACAACUCACAACGUUAGGUCAUAAUAUAGAGGAAAAUGAACAUGCAGAGCUUCUACUUCAAAGUCUACCAGAUUCGUAUAAUCAACUCAUCAUCAACCUGACGAAUAAUAAUCCAGCGGACAGUUUGGUUUUCGACGAUGUUGCAGCCUCCGUAUUAAAUGAGGAGAGCAGGCGGAAAAAUAAGAAAAAUAGACAAGCAAGUUUGCAGCAAGCGGAGGCGUUAUCGGCGACGAGAGGGAGAUCAACGGAACGUGGCUGGCCCCAGUGGGAGUCACAAUCGUGGUAGAUCAAAAUCCAGAAGUAAGAAGAAUGUUAAAUGCUACAAUUGUGGUAAGAAAGGGCACGUCAAGAAAGAGUGUUAGAGUAACCAGAAGAGAAAAGAUGGCAAAAAACCUGAGUCAUCAAAUGCUCAGGGGUGUGUAGCAAGUACCUCGGAUGAUGACGAAAUUCUCUACAGCGAGGCAACAACUGUUUCAGAAGGUAGAAAAUGACUAUAUGAUGUCUGGCUUAUAGACUCAGGAGCUACCUGACACAUGACCUAUCGUAGAGAAUGGUUCCACACAUAUGAACAUAUCUCAGGAGAAUAUGCAUAUAUAGGUAAUGAUCAUGCCUUGGAGAUCGUUAGUAUUGGUACUAUCAAAAUAAAAAUAUUUGAUGGUACAAUUCGCACAAUUGAGGAGGUACAACAUAUCAGCGGCCUGAAGAAAAAUCUAUUGUCUUUGGGACAAAUGGAUAGUCAUAGGUACAAAACUCAUGUGGAGAAUGGAAUUAUGUAGAUCGUUAAAGGCGCGCUUGUAUUGAUGAAGGCAGAAAAGAUCAGUGCUAAUUUAUUCAUGCUUAAAGGAGAAACACUACAGGAGGCUGAUGUAUGUGUCGCGUCAAAUGGAGAAGAGUCAACGAUGAUGUGGCAUCUCAAACUUGGCCACAUGUCAGAACAAGGCUAGAAGAUUCUCUCUGAGUGAAAAUUGCUUCCAGGGUUCAAAUCGGUAAGUUUACCAUUUUGCGAGCAUUGUGUUAUAAGUAAGCAACAUAGAUUAAAGUUCAGUAGAUCUAUUACUAGAAGUAAAUGCAUUCUAGAAUUGAUUCAUUCUGAUGUUUAGGAAUCGCCGGAUAUGUCCAUGGGAGGUGCAAAGUACAUGGUGACUUUCAUUGAUGAUUAUUGCAGGAGAUGUUGGGUGUAUUCAAUUAAGAAAAAGUCAGAUGUAUUUCCAGUGUUUAAAGAAUACAAAGCGCGGGUGGAACUUGAAUUUGGUAAAAGGAUCGAGUGCUUGGGGACAAAUAAUGGUGGAGAGUAUACAGACGGCGAGUUUCUUGCUUUCUGUAAGCAAAAAGGUAUUUAGAGGUAGUUAAUGGUAGCAUACACUCCUCAACAAAACGGAGUGGCGAAGCGAAUGAACAUAACUCUUACAAAAAGAAUAAUAGCUAUGUUGAGGACUGCUGGUCUACCCAAUUCAUUCUGGGCAGAAGCAGCCAAAACUGCCUGUUAUAUCGUAAAUCGAUUGCCAUCUACAACAAUUGGGCUGAAGACAGCGAUGGAGAUAUGGACUGGAAAGCUAGCUGAUUACUCAUACCUACAUGCAUUUGGAUGUCCUGUGUACGUGAUGUACAAUGCCCAAGAAAGAAUAAAGCUUGAUCUAAAAUCUAGAAGAUGUAUCUUCUUGGGAUAUACUGAUGGAGUAAAGGGGUAUCGUCUGUAGGACCCCACUGCCCACAAGAUCGUCAUCAGCAGAGAUGUUAUUUUUUGUAGAAGAUCAACUACAAAGGAAAGAUAGAGAUGAUGACACUGUAAAAGAAAAGUCAGAGACUGUGCCAGUAUAUGUGGAAAAUAAUCCAGAAGAUUCAGAUUCUUCUGAAGCAACACCAGAGCAUGAAGAAUAAGAAUCAGUCGAGUUCGAGGCUCCAGAAGUUCGUCGGUUAACUCGUGAAAGACGACCGCCAACGUGACACUCGGAGUAUGUCACAGAGAUCAACGUUGCAUACUGUUUUCUAACAGAGGAUGGAGAGCCUUCAACUUUCCAUAAAUCUUUAAACAGCUCAGAUGUUACUUUAUGGAUGACAACAAUGCAGGAAGCAAUUGAGGCUCUACAUAAGAACAAGACAUUGGAGCUUGUACCACUACUACGUGGAAGAAAAGAUAUUGGAAACAAAUAGAUCUACAAGAUCAAAUGUGAUGGUAAUGACCAAGUGGAACGGUAUCAUGCAAGAUUGGUGGUGAAAUGAUAUGCUCAGAAAGAAGGUAUUGACUUCAACGGAAUAUUUUCUCUGGUGGUUUGACUCACAACAGUCAGAAUAGUCUUGGUAAUGUGUGCUACAUUUGACUUACAUCUUGAGCAGUUAGAUGUGAAAAUUGCAUUUCUUCAUGGAGAACUUGAAGAAGAAAUUUAUAUGCUCCAACCAGAAGGUUUUGCUGAAAAGGGAAAGGAGAACUUGGUUUGCAGGUUGAACAAAUCUUUAUACGGUCUCAAACAGGCACCGAUGUGUUGGUAUAAGAGAUUUGAUUCCUUCAUCAUAAGCCUCAGAUACAAUAGACUCAGCUCAGACCAAUGUGCAUAUUAUAAAAGGUUUGAAGAUAAUGAUUUCAUUAUUUUGAUAUUGUAUGUGGAUGACAUGUUGGUAGCAGGCCCCAACAAAGAUCGAGUCCAAGAAUUGAAGGUAUAAUUGAUUAGGGAGUUUGAAAUAAAGGACUUGGGACUAGAAAAUAAGAUUCUAGGGAUGCAAAUUCACCGAGACAGAAAUAACAGGAAGAUUUGGCUUUCUCAGAAGAACUACUUGAAGAAAAUUUUGCGACGCUUCAACAUGCAAGAUUGUAAGUCAAUUUCUACCCCACUUCCUGUUAAUUUCAAAUUAUCCUUAAGUAUGUGUCUGAGCAAUGAAGCAGAGAAGGAGGAGAUGUCUCGAGUACCGCAUGCAUCAGCAGUGGGAAGUUUGAUGUUCGCUAUGAUAUGUACUGGAUCGGACAUUGCACAAGCAGUGGGAGCAGUCAGUCGGUACAUGGCAAAUCCUAGUGGAGAGUAUUGGAUAACUGUGAAGAAGAUUCUGAGAUACAUCAGAGGAACCUCAGAUGUUGCAUUAUGUUAUGGAGGAUCAGAGUUUACUGUCAGGGGUUAUGUGGAUUCAGAUUUUGUAGGAGACUUUGAUAAAAGAAAAUCCACUAUUGGCUAUAUGUUUACACUUGCAGGAGAAGCUGUAAGCUGAGUUUUGAAACUGCAGACCGUUGUGGUUUUAUCUACAACAGAAGCAGAAUACAUGGCAGCUACACAAGCUUGGAAGGAAGCUAUCUGGAUACAAAGGUUAUUGGAGGAGUUCGGGCACAAACAAGAGAAAAUUUUUGUGUAUUGUGACAGUCAGAGUGCCUUGCAUAUUGUAAGAAAUCCAGCAUUUCAUUCAAGGACAAAGCAUGUAGGAGUUCAGUAUCACUUCGUUCAAGAAGUAGUGGAAGACGGAAGUGUGGAUUUACAGAAAAUCCAUACGAAGGAGAACCUAGCAGAUGUUUUGACCAAGCCGAUAAAUACUGAUAAGUUUGUCUGGAGUAGAUUCUCUUGUGGCCUAGCAGAAACGUAGGCAACAUGACAGUGGCGAAGCAGAAACGAUGGUGUGGAGAUUGAUUGAUCCUCAAUCAAAUCUCCAAGUGGGAGAAUGUCAAAAGAUUUGGCUGCAACAUCUAGAAGCUGCAUCUAGAAGUUUUGAAGAAGCAAAAUGGGUGGCACAUGACUUUGAAGUUCUAGAUGCUGUAAUGUUUAGUAAAAGAAAAAGAAAAAAAUUCAAAGCUAAAAAAUUCAAAGUUUGAAAAUCUAAAAUUUUUGACCUGUAUGGCUUGAAAUUUUAUAGCCACGUUUUUUACUUUUGAGGCAAAGUUUUGCCUAUAAAUACAAGCUCUCAAUUUAGAGCUUGCAUCCAAUUUUGUAAAGAAAGUCGAGAGCUGUUAGAAGCAAUUCUUGCAGAGCAGAGAGUUUGUAGAGCUUAAAUAAUAAAAGCUCUUGUUUUAGUGAUUUGAGAGUUUAGGUGUAUUAGGGUUUUGGGAAGUGAGCUAAAAUACUACAAUACUUGUAACUCUUUUUCACUAGUAAAAUAUUUUCCUUCUGUCUUCGCCCGUAGAAGUAGGCUAAAAGCCGAACCACGUAAUUUCCUGGUGUCCUCUUUGUGCUUGUUCUUUAUUUUUUUUCAAUUUUAUUUUAGCUGCGGCCCUGCUUCACCCACCAAUUUUCUAACAUCGUCUUCACUGUCACCCUGUGCCUAGGUAAUGCGUGCAAAUCAUGGGGUUGAAUACACUAUUGCUGAAUUCAAUCCAAUUCAGUGGACAUUUGACAAUUCUCCCCAGGUGAGAUUGGACUUCUAGUUUCUUGUAUUUGUUUUUCUUCAUCCGAUGUUUUCAGGGAUACCUAUUUGGCAGUAUAUAAAAAUCUGUGAUAUCGUCUAUACAUAUACAUAUACAUCAUUGGCUUCAGUCAUUUGUGAACAUAUUGGUGGUAGUAGAUGUAUUUUUAUGAUAUCUCUAAUAAAAUCCUAAGUUUGAUUAAUUACAAAAGAAGUAUGAGCGGUGCUGGACCGGGGGGGAGGGGGGAGGAGUGGGGUGUCGGUGUGUUGGGGGUGUGCAGUGCAUGAAUAAAAGGAAAUGAUAGGGGGUGAAAGUUUGUGCUACCGACAUGCUGUAAAAUGGGGACACAAUAUUUCAAAUUAGAGAUUGUGAGAUCCUUAAUAUUGCUGACUUGUGCUUAAAAUGGAAUUCUUGAUAACUUCAAAUGUUAAAGUUCUUGGUGAAAUUUUGUACUUUCUUUUCUUUCAGAUUCUUGUGCCUAUUGCAAAUGGUUCAGAGGAGAUGGAAGCUGUUAUGAUAAUUGAUAUUCUGCGACGAGCUAAAGCAAAUGUUGCAGUUGCAUCAGUUGAGGAUAAACUAGAAAUUCUGGCUUCGUCAAAUUAAAUUAGUGGUAGAUGUGCUCAUUGAUGAGGCGGCUAAACUUUCGUAUGAUUUAGUUGUCUUGCCAGUGAGUUGGGGUGCUUACUCUUGCUUCAUAGUCUUUACCACAUUAUUGACUUACUAACUACAAUUUAUCCAUGCACAUUGCACAGGGUGGACUUGGUGGCGCUCAAGCAUUUGCGAAGUCAGAUAAAUUGGUGAAUAUGCUAAAGAAGCAAAAGGAAUCAAAUAGACCUUACGAUGCUAUAUGUGCAUCCCCAGCUUUAGUGUUGGAGCCCCGUGGCUUACUCAAGGUACGACCAUUUCUGCUUAAAUUAUUUACUCAGAUUUGGAUCACCUAAUCUGAACUUGAUGAGAGAUUAUGAUGUUGUAUGAUUUUAUGAAUGUGGUCUUAUCUCAUGUAAGUCAGUGAUGAAUUAAUUGGAGUUUGUUGACAAAUUAGAAGCUGAAAAACUGCUGCUGCUUCGUUAGUUACAUUACCCAAAGAGUUAAAAUUAACAUCACAAAUUUGUUAUCCCAAAUGAUAUGGCAUUUAUUGAGUGAUUGGUAUUAAUUGUAUUAUCUAACCCACCAACAGAUGAAUGCCGCACCAUUUGAGACGAUCUUUUGGGAUAAAAAAUUUGGGAAGUGCAGCAAAUUUUUAUGCCGAUUUUUUUUGGCUUCAUUCAUGUAAACUCCUCCCCCCCCCCCCCCAAAAAAAAAGGAAAACCAGCAAACACCAAAAAAAAAAAAUUCUGAAGUACUUCCCUUAAUAUCAUUCCUGUGUAUUUCUUUUCCCCUCAAGACAUAUUUAACUUUGGUUCAGGGUAAAAAAGCUACAGCUUUUCCUGCCAUGUGCAACAAGCUGUCAGAUCAGAGUGAAAUCGAAAACAGAGUUGUGGUUGAUGGCAACCUCAUCACCAGUAGAGGGCCAGGAACUUCAAUGGAGUUUGCACUGGCAGUUGUGGAGAAGUUUUUUGGCCGCAACAAGGCACUUGAGCUUGCAAAGAUAAUGCUUUUCACUCGCGCCUAACGUUUGUACCGGGACCUGACUACUAUUAAACUAGUGUGUUUAUUUCUGUAUUACUACUGCUUGUAGAGAGGGGAAACGGAAACUUGAAUUCAUGUUUGAAUAUGGAUUCACUGUGUCGGUUUGUACAGCAGUUUGGUUUAUAAAUAAAUGAGUUCAUAGAGUCAUUUCAAAUAUUUGGAAUAAACCUGAGUUUAGUUCUGUUAUCAAUGGUCGGAGUCCAAUUGCGAUCGACUCACUGGGAAUUUUAAUUAUG
rnacentral:lncRNA from 1 species